rnacentral:lncRNA from 1 species
AAAAUUCUCAAGCGGUUGCAAUGCAAUUACGAUCAUCCUCAGCCUCAGGUAAUUUCUUCUCCUGCUUUGUUUUUAUUUGUUCUCUAAUUAGGAAGCAUAAAGUAUCUUGAAUCAUUUUCUGUAUCUGGAAUAUAUGCAAGAGUUUCUAAAAUUUUGAUAUGAGUGUAAUGAUGGUAAUUUCUGUUUUCUGUCUGUCAUCAAAUGUUAGAAAACUUUCAUUGAGACCCUUGAACCGAGUCAUUUUUGACAAGUGAAGUGCUGAAGAGUGAGGAGUAAGAAUGGUGCUAGAUUGGGGAAUAAAGCAAAAGGAGGUAAAUUAUUGGCAGCUUCUUCAGCCUUAUUUUCUUUGGACCAGUGCCUAAUUCACAAGUCUCCGUAAUUUGGCUUUUGACCAGUUGAUAGAUAAAAUUUUAAUUUCAUUGGUGCUAAUGUACCCGUGAAGCAGGCAGAGAAGGACUGUGGAAAAGAGAAGGUUUUUAGUGAAAGCUUAAACUCAGGUAAUUCUAAAAAUUAUAUGUUUUGGCUGAUUUAUCUAAUCAGGAAAUUUUAUUUCCAUCUGUUACAAUAAAACAGAAACAGAACACAAAGAAAAAUAGUCUACCUCUUGUGGCAAUCUUGCCUUCAUUCAGACUAUGAAACCAUUUCCUUUCACCAAUUUCUUCCAAAAGUUUGAACACGUUUCAUGGUUGGACAUAGUUAGCUUCUUUCUCUUUUGGUGCAUUUAGGUGCUAUCAAGUGACAGCCAUAAGUAUGAUUGCAUUAUUGGGAAAUUUUAGGUUUUGAUGGCUCCCCAUGUUAUUGCCAAGAAAUUUUAAGUCCUCAUGUCAGAAGCUGCGUUUCUUUUCAUCAGCCUGAACCCGAACCUGUCACUAUGGAUAACUGAGGUUUUUGUCAUCAACUAUAUCAUCUUUUUCACUGUUUUGAAACUGUUAAGAUUAAACUUCAGUAAAGUUGUUUCAGUUAUCCAUGUAAUCAGGCUAAGGAUAUUUAGCAGCUUAUUUAGGCAACUGCCAGAAUUUAGUUUGUUCGCUCGAAACUUGUAUGGUGACAAGGAUACUGGCAAGGAUAGUGAGAUAGUUUUUUGUGUGAGUGAAUUUUGAAAGCUUGGGUGUUCUGGGAUUUGCAAUUGCAAUCAUCCUCUGCUUUAGGUGAUUUCUUCUCCUGUUCUGUCUUUAUUUUCUCUCUAAUUGAAAGCAUUUCAAUCAAAUUCUGUACCAGGAAUACGAAAAAUUUACUAAUAUUUUAUUUCCAUCUGUUUGCAUUGAUAACUUGGCCGCAUAUGUACUAGUUAAAGAACAAACAGAAGCAGAGUUCAGGAAAAAGUUUCUUCGGCCACCAUAUUUGAAAAUGAAACCAAUUCCAGGAAGCAGUUGGCAGCAAAUUCAUACAAAGUAUAGACAAUGAUGUGCAAAAAGGUGAUUCGCAAUUUCAUUUUUUUAAAAUGAAAUUAUUUGUUAAGUUGGAGCUGAUAUUGUUAGAAGGCCAUUGAGCUAACCUAUGACACUGCUUGCCUAGAUUGCAGGAGGUCAAGGCUCAAAAGAUGCACUGAAUUUUAAAAGGCAUGCAAUAAUUCUUAUGGCCAUUUGUCAAUGGUGGAAUGCUUUUAGCUUCUUUUCCUUUCGUGCAUUUUGGGGUUCUAUCAAGCGACAGCCGUAUGUAUGGAUGGAUAUAGCUGCUGCGUUGAUUUCUAAUGCGGUGGAGUAAUCGUCGUUAGAAUCUGAAUGAUAUGUCUAAGACGUUGCAUGCAUCAAGAAAAUUGCAGAUGAUUAAACCUUGCCAUCUAUGCGUUGUAUGAGGUUAUAGCAACUAUCUAUCUGGUCACCGUUUUAAAAGAAUAAGACAAAGGGAAAAAGAGAAAGAAAAGAAUGAUUCGACAAUGGCAUUAAAGUUCAACAUACCCCAAGAUCUUGUAAUAAUGCCAUUAAUCAUUUCUAGCUAGGCUAGCCUUAGAGAAAAGUGAAACUGUUGCACAGGUAGAAUCACACCCCUCAGAGAUAAUGUGUUUUUAUUCAGCUCUUCGAAUGAAUGAAGUUUAUUUUCUCGUCAAAAAAAAAACUGCUCGUUCCGCUGGUUUCAUACAAUGUCAACUAGAAACAUCAUACUUUCGUAUAAGUUCAUUAUUGUUUCUUGGAAAUAUCAGAAUAUUUCUUAGAGUUUGUAUAAAAUGAAAAGAUUUUAAAAUAUAAAUUUAAUAUUUGUUUAUUACCGUUGUUUGGUCUAAUUUCCUCGGGAGAAUUUUCAGAAUUUAUAGGACAUUAGUUUAUAAUUUGCGCAUUGACAUAUAUCUUAUUUUAUCAUUUUGAAUGAAUUGCACGGCGAGGCUUAUCAACUUUGGAUGAAUCCUCCAAUUGUCGCAGUCCAAGACUGGCUGCAGUGAGUGAAAAUUUACCCAUAUAUAUGCUGGCUAUUUUUAUUGGCGACGAAUUCGUUGUAGUUGGUCCAUCUUGCUAUUCUCGGACAAUAUUAGAGAAAAUAAUCAUAUUAUUUCGCGUGAUGUGACCUUCCAUAACUUAUCAAUUGAAUUACUGUAAAAUUAUUGUGUAAGUUUAGGCCCAAUGGCACUUUAGUUCGAUAGCCUGGAUUUAAAAGGAAAACUAUAUUGCAUUGCUUCAAAAAAAAAAAAUUAAUGUUUUUAAUAUGAAUAUUCUUAACUAUAUUCAGUUAAAAUAAUAUAUUCUUAAUAUUAAUAUUCAUAGAUGAAAUUCUUUUGUGGAUUUAAGAAUAAAAUAUCAAAUAGUUUUAUUUUUCUUUUGUUGUGUAACUUGGACCGAAAAAGAAAAUGAGCUUAACAUGACCCUCCUUCCGGCACUAUGCAUGUUUUUCUUUUAUUGAUGACAGUGCUCUUGGUGCUUCUCAUCUGCUUCUUGCUUUGGUUUCAAACAAGUCUUUCUCCGUCGAGACAUUUAUUGUAAUUUGAUUUGGAGACAUCUGUCGUUCAAAUAUAUUUCAUAUGCAAGCUGUUGAUAAUUCUGCUUGAGAAAGCCUACAAAGCAGCUGUGUGAUGUAAUAGAAGACUAUAUAUGCAAACGGUCAUCAGUUUCUCUUGAAUUCUUUCUUGAGUUUCUUUGAAUUAUUUGUGAAUGAGUUCUUAAUCGGCUGCUGCUCUUCAGGAAAAGGAAAGUGUUGCAAACUGGUGAAGCUGAUCGAUAAAAGCAAUGUACCAUCUUUGCUGGCAUGGAUCGAUGCCAGUGAGUUUUUUUAUUUGUCAACCUUUUUAAUAAUGCAUAUGUUUUUCUUCAACUUGAAGCGGCAUAUAAGACGAAAGAAGUGAUCUUUAAAGCAUUCUAUGGCAUUAUCCUUUCCUAUUAUAUAUAUCCAAUUGCUCCAAAUUAUUUGUAAAUUACUGAACACGAAUGCUGAUGAAUAAACUGAUGGCUCUAUGUAUGUAUGCACAUGCAUGGAGAAAUUUUAAGUCAGACAUUCUCAUAUAUAACUCGUGGGACCAAAUCAUUAAAUAAUCUUGAAAUCAAAGUAAUAAUUAAAUACAAAUAAAUUGCUCGAAUUGUACAUAUAUCUGAAUCAUGUAGUGAAGAAAAUACAACAACAACAACCAAUGGCUCAAAUUCCCCAUCAACUUCUAGUCUCAACACUUUUGAGUGUCAGAAGCAUUACUCUGCUACCAGUUAACAAACAUAUAAUUAGUAAUUUGCCAUUCACUUCCCUUUUAGGCCUAACACAUUUUCUAUAAAGGAGCCACAGAGUGAACUCAGCAGGAAACACUCAAUUUCAACCUACGUAGGACCAGGAAUUUCAACAAAAAAAAAAGUGUGCAAUUGCUUAUCCUAUCCUAUUGCUACUAGAAAGAAAGUGAACAAUUAAUUUCAGUGAAUAAAUUAAAAAAAAUUACUUCUGCAGAUACUCAAGCUAAGAACACAUUAACCCAUUAAAGACUCCAAAUUGCAUCAAACAAAUUGUUGUUAAACAAGUAAAACAAAGAAAGAGAGUUAAGGAAGCUGACCUAGUAGUAGGGGAGCUGAAGAAAGACUGCCAGUGAAUGUAAGAGAAAAUAAAAUGCAAGAAAUGGUGAAGUGCAGCUUUUCAUGUCAACUUGAAAUUGUUUCUUCUGUUUUUUGUAAUCUUUUGGAUUUUUCAAACAAAGAAAAUGAGGAGCAACCAGGGAGAUAAAAAGGGCGCCAAGGCAACUGUGUGUUGGGUUUAGAGCCAAAAAAAAAAAAGAAUAAGACAUCGUGUUCUUGUGGAGACCAGACCUAUUACGUAUAGGGAUGGCAAUGGGGCGGGGUGGGGGUGGGGAUGCCUACCCCAUUCCCCACCCCAUUAAAAAUUUUUGCCUCCAUUCCCCACCCCAUUCCCCAAUAAAUUUAGUGGGUUGGGGAUGGGGAAUCCCCACGUGGGGAAUGAUUCUCCCAUCCCCACCCCAUUCCCCAUUUACAUAUUUUAUAGUAGAUAUAAAAAUAUGAUUUCAGUAAAUUAAAAAUUAGAGACUUAAGAUAAAAUCAUCACAAUAUUAUAAAGUAUUUAAUUUUAAAAAAAAAUCUCUAAAAAUUUGAAACAAUAUCUUAAAAUGAUAUUAAAAGUGAAAAAUAUUUAAAGAAAGCAGCACCUUAAAAGAGAAAAGAAAAUAUAUUAAUGUUUUAAAGUUGAAAAAUAUUGUAGAAUUUUCUUUUAUUCAUAUUCUAUUUAUAUUACAUAAAAAUUAAAAAAAAUUAUUAAUUGACAUUAUAGUUGAUAAAAUAUAAAUUAUUAAAUAAGAAUUAAAAACAUAUUUAUAUAUAAUGGGGAUUGGGGUGGGAGUGGGGUGGGGAGUGCAAUACCAAACCCCACCCCGUUAACAAUUUGGGGAUUAUUUUUUCCCCACUCCCCACCCCAUUCCCCAAAAAUUAUUAAAAAAUUUCCCCAUUUGGGGUGGGGCUCCAUGGGGCCCCAAACCCGUGGAGGAUUUUGCCAUCCCUAAUUACGUAACGUCCCCUUCAAUACCACUUGUUCCGUAUCUGGUUUUUUCUUCGUCUUUUACAUAUUUAUCCUGUGAUUUUACAAUAACUAAAUAAUCCCCGCAUAGUUUGCAAUUUUAUUCAUUUGGGCCCUACAGAUUUCAGUAAUAGGAAUUAUUAAGGGACAAGAGCGCAAAACAGAAACUCUGUCCACUACUGAUGAUAUAACAACGAACCUUUGUAGUUUCUGCCUGUUAAUAUGAAUUGAUCAGGAGUGUUUCCUCACUUACAAAUUACGAAUUUACAAAAUAUGUAUGUAAGUAUGUGUGUACGUACGUGUGUAUGUAUGUACAUAUAUGCAUACACCUAUGUAACAUUUACUUAUACAUUCUUUUGAGUUUAAAUCUUAAUACACAUUUUCAUGAAAUUUUUAUUUUAUUAAGUAUACAACUACAUACAACUACAUUAAUGUAUAUAUUUUUUAUAUAAGACAUGCCGUCCUAUUAUUCAUAAGUAAACAAUGUGUUGUAAAUAGUAUUCUGUGUUUUCUCAAAGUUGACUUUUCGUCUUUUAUUUUCAGACGCAGACGCUAUGUCAUUUUGUAAUCUUCAAAACAUAUGCAGAGCAGAAUUGGUGUUAUAUGAUUUUGUGAUGCAAUAAGAUUUGCACUUCCUGUGCACUCAAUGGAAUCAUUUCUUUGUAACUAAUUGGGUGGUGGAAUGGUGGUCAAAUAUCGAACGAAGACAGAUCUAUCAAACUCCAGAAACAGGGAAACCAUGCCACGCUAGUAGACAAUAUGCUAGUAUGAACAAACUUGUUUGAAUGGCAAAAACGACAUGACCUGCUGUAGUAUUAGUUCUUUCCCGAACCAAAGGGUGAUUUGCUACGUUAGAUCAUGAAAAUUGAAAAAAAAAAUUAACCAAAAUAAAAAUUCUUACGGUAAGAAUAAAAAUUCUUAAGGAAUUAGUUAGUUAAUUGAUUGAUCGAAUUUAAUCUAAAUUGGAAAAUGAUAAGAUAAUUUUGAAUUUUUUAUUAUAAUUAUUAUUUUAAAGUGGGGUGGGUUUAUACAAUUUGAGGCUUUGAGCGGUGUAAAUAUCACUGCUGAAUUAUUAAAUAUACAGUGUAAAAUUUUGACCUUUAAAAUAUUCCUUUUUUUCAUUUAGCACUAUAAGUUUAAAAAUUUAACAUUUUACCUCAAUAAUUAAAUACUUUUAACUUUAAUCUUCAAAUAUUUACCCUACAACAUUCGGACCUAAAUUUUUAAUCCGACUCGGCCCCUGACCCAAGUGGGAAGAAGAUCAGGCUUAUAAGUUAUAACUAUCACCAACAUAACAUCUUCUGGAAAAUAAUAAGAUUACUCACCUGCAAUUAUGUGAUCAAACUAAUGGUAAGCAAAAUAGAACAGCGUUAUUUCAGUCCCCUUUCAGUUUCUUUAUCAUUUUUCUUUUCCUAUUUAUAAGCUUAAUUCGGUCCAAUAUCGGCUAAUUCACUUUGAUUUCACUUUUCUUUCUUUCGGUUCAAAAAAAUUGAACCCAUUGGCUGUCAAUUCAAUUUUGUUGAAAACCAACUUUGCCUGAAUUUGAGUAAUAAUAGAGGAAAAAAAAAGUGUACUUAGCAGAAGAGAUUUCUCAUUUUUUUCUCAUUCAAACUUCUAAAAUAAAGGGAAAAAAAAAACAAGAGUAAUUGUUAAUUAUCAAAAAUUUGUUUAUACUAUUCCACCAAGAAAAUUAUAAAAAAAAAAUUUAAAAAUUGGAGAAGAAAUAUGAGGUGAAAUACGUGGAUGGCUUAGACUAAUAAUGUGAACAAAUUCCUCUCGGAAACAUGUCAUUGUUCAUCCGGACAACACGCGGCAAUGAGAUUCAAGAAUUAAAUGAUAGGAAUCAACUGUAACCUCAUAAACAAAUGGCCUUGGAGUUGUAAACACCAAGCUCGGCAGAUUAAUUAAACAAGAAUAUCCGAAUUUUCUAUGAUAAUCUCUAGGAAACGAUCAGCUAUAAUAUACGAAAUUAAAAUAUUGCAUAUAUUUUUGAACUCAUGCAUUAAUUUCAAAAAUUAUAUCGUAUUAUAAUUUAUUCACAAAAGAAAGAAAAAUUCACUAAUCAAUUGAAUAAAUAUAAGUAUUUCAUCCAGUGUAAUACUUAUAUCAAUUGAAUAAAUAUAAGAAAAAUCACCAAAAUUCACUAAUCAAUUGGAUAAAUAUAAGUAUUUCUUCCAGUGUAAUUUUUGUUUAAUAGAAAAUCUAUUUGAGAUUUUGUGAGAAGAAACUCAACAAUAAAGUGUGAUAGACUUUGUGGGUAUUAAGAGUUUGACAAGUAUUUGAAAUCUGAAGUUUACGAGCAAACAAACUGAAAUCCGAAGUUUACUGAAGUUUACUAUCAAGAGUUUCAAAACAGUGAAAAAGAUGAUAUAGUUGAUGACAAAAACCUGAGUUAUCCAUAGCGACAAGUAACAUACUGAAGUAAGCCGUUGGGAGCUGGCCUGUUCAUGGGCUAUUUUUCUCUGAUGAUCUGCAUUUUUCUUCCUUUUAAGUGAACCUUGACUCGUAUCAAACCUGUCAAAAGAACAGUUCAUCAACUGAGCUGAGAUUUGCUUUCCUUUUUCAAAACCCACCUGAGAUAUUGUAAUUCCCAAAUUUCUCUCUCUCAGCUACACGAGCAAGCAGCCGCUUUUUCACUUCAUCGAAGAAGGUAAGCGAUAUAUCUAUUUCGUCCGAUUGAUUUCUUGUUUCCUUUUCAGUGUUCCGGUAAAUUAUUGGCAUGCCUGACUUUUUGACCAUUACACGAUUCAUAAAUUUAUAUUAAUUUUGAUUUUGAGUUGACCGUUUACUUUUACAGGUUUGCUUACUUUGACUAGGUGACCAAUUUCUUGUAACUAAAUUUAUGACGUGGGCAGGAUAUGAAAUGAGAAUCUUAUUAGUGGAAGGAUUGCCAGUAACAGAACCCAAAGAAAAUGAAACCAUUUCAAGGCAGCAGUUGGCAGUUGGCAGUGAAUGGAGGCCCCUGACAAAACUUCAGUAAACUUCAGAUUUCAGUUUGUUUGCCCGAAAAUUGCAUGGUGACAAGGAUACUGGCAAGGAUAAUGAGAUAGUUUUUGUGUGAAUGAAAUUACGAUCAUCCUCAGCCUCGGGUAAUUUCUUCUCCUGCUUAGUUGUUAUUUGUUACCUAAUUAAGAAGCAUAAAGUAUCUUGAAUCAUUUUCGUUGUCCGGAAUAUAUGCAACAGUUUUUUACGAUCAUCCUGAAUGACUACUAGAGACAGUCAAGCUAAUGACUAUAAAUUAAGCGCUUCUUGGGAGGUAACCCAAGCUUUCUAAACUUUAUUAUUGUCAAUUUUUUUUCAUAUUUUUUUCUUUUCUUUUACUUAUUUUAUUUUGUUUUAUCUAGAUUUUGCACGAGUUCGAGGGUCGAUGAACAUCAACUUUCCACAUGUCUUUCAACGGCUUAGCUACAACUUUACAUCUUCAAGUGCAAAACCGGGGGAGUUUCUCUUUUCCUUUUCUUUUUCUUUACAUUGAGGACAAUGUUUAUUUUAAGUUUGGGGGUGGGAAUAUUUGCUUUUCAUUUUUUUCCCAAAAAAAAAAGAUUUUAAUGCCUAUGAUGAGUUUAUGAUUGAAAAUGAAUAUGGUUCUUAGAAAGGGAUGAAUAUUAUCUUAGUUUAUACUUGAUUCUUGUGUUAGUUUCGUCUUGAUUGAGAUUCUUUAAAGCGAUUCUUUUAGAAUUUUGACUUGAGAUUUGAGAUUGAUACAGCCUAAGUUGAGAAUUUUAGAUUGAGUAAAUGAUUGUUUGCCUCGAUUCUACAUUACUUAAGUUUACCCAGGCACCAUAGUCAGAAAUAGCUACCUACAACCCUUAAGAGUGAAGCUAUCCUCGAGUAAUUUGGGCCUAUGUAUCACCAGUAUGUAGAGGAUAAUCUACCAUGAGAAGAAGGUUACCUUAAGGGGUAGAGUGAAAGCUCCUGACUAUGGACAAAGAAAUGAAAAAAAAAAAGAAAAAAAAAAGAGCACGAGCUUCAAGAAAAAUCAAAAGAAAAUGCUAAUUUAUGCCUGAGAAAAAAAAAAAAAGAUCAAGAUGAUGAGGUUAGUUUGACCUACCCUGUUUAUUAUUCGAGACAAGGGCUGUUGAUGUUGAAGAUCUUGAGAAUGAGUUUUGAUUGAAUUGAUUCACACACAACACAUGAAUCCAAUAUGAGAUGAGGCUGACCAUUGAAUUAAAGUUAGAACUUUGCUAGUAUUUUUAAUUUUCUUUGAGCUAUAUACUUUAUGCAAUCUUUGAGGCAUUUUUUAUGAUGUUUGUGGGUAUCAUCGCUGGAAACCCUCACGAGACUAUAACUCGUCCACUAGGGCCGCCUAGGGGUUUAAAGGCUUGUUGCAUACGCUAAAUGCAAUCGCGAUCACCUGCGAAAGUGGUUUAGUUAGAAUUUUCUUUUCGUAGUUUUUAUUUUAGUUUUUGCUCGAGGACUAGCAAAAUGUUAAGUUUGGGGGUAUUUGAUGUGCUCAUAAUUUAUCUAUUAUUUUAAUGCUUCCAUAACUUAAUUUUAUGUUAAAUUAUAUUUUAUUAUAUUAAUUUUUAUCUUAAUUUUUAUAUUUUGUCAUUGUAGGAAUAUUGAGAAUAUUCAUGAGAAAAGAAGCUUAAAGAGGAAACAAGUUGGAGUAUAAUGGAAAUAAUGUGGAAGCAAGAGGGAAAGAAAUAAAAAGCCAAAUCAAAGAAAAUUUAAUUUAAGCAUCAUGCAUGCAGUCACGUGAUGAAUAAAGGAAGAGAAGAAAAGGUCAAUAGGCUUUUAAUUUCAAGCUAGUUACGUAGAGCCCAUUUGACAAUUUAAAUGGCAAGCUUACAAUAUAUUAAAGGAAGCAAAUAUUUUGGCAUUGUUUGAAAAGGCUAUUCACGUGGAUGGGCUUUGGUUUCAAUUUUGAUUGGCUUAGGAAUGAAAUAGGCGGCUGGGCUUUUGUUUUUAAUUCCUUUCAUAAGAGGAUUUGACAAGCCACAACAUUAUAAAAAGGGAAAAGCCAAGCGGAAGCCAAAAAAAAAAAAAAAAUAAUAGAGCAGCAGCCGCAAGUUUUGAGCAAAACCGAGAGCAGCAUGAAUAAUUUGGAGCAGAAGGAAGACACAUUAAUUCUUGAGUUUUUCUUUCUCUCUUCUCUAUUAUCUUAUUUGAAUGUUUCCCAUUAAAUUCAUGGAUUAUCUUUAUAUUCCCAUGAACUAAUUUAUUUUACUAGAGCUACGAUGUCCUAGUGUUUUAAUCUCUUGGUGAUUUCUAUUACUGCUUGCAUCUUUAUUUGAUUUUUAGUUAUUUUAAUUUUUAAUUUAAAUUCGCUUAUUUGAUUGUUCAAAUAAAUUAGGGUUAGGAUAAUUUCGGUAACUAAUAGGAUAUUCAAUCUCAGUGGGAUGAUACUCUACUCUUCACUAUAUUACUUGUGCCGACUAGUACACUUGCUAAUUUAUGCAAUAGUUGACAGUUGGGAGUGAAUGGAGGCCCUUGACGAAACUUCAGUAAACUUCAGAUUUCAGUUUGUUUGCUCGAAACUUGCAUGGUGACAAGGAUACUGGCAAGGAUAAUGAGAUAGUUUUUGUGUGAAUGAAAUUAUGAUUAUCCUCAGCCUCAGGUAAUUUCUUCUCCUGCUUAGUUGUUAUUUGUUACCUAAUUAAGAAGCAUAAAGUAUCUUGAAUCAUUUUCGUUGUCUGGAAUAUAUGCAACAAUUUUUAAAAUUUUGAUAUGAGUGCAAUGAUUGUAAUUUCUGUUUUCUGUCUGUCAUCGAAUGUAAGACAACUUUAUUAAGAUUCUUGAACCGAGUCAUUUUUGACAAUUGAAGGACAAGUGCUGAAGAGUGGGAAUGCAAAAAGUUUUGUUGUUUUUAGCCUUGUUUUCUUUGAACCAGCGCCUGAUUCACAAGACUCCAUUAAUUUGGCUUUUGAUCAGCUGAUUGAUAAAUGUUCAAUUUCUUUGGUGAUAAAUGUAAUUGUGAAGCAGGCAGCAGGGCAUGACUGUGGAAAAGAGAAGAUUUUAGUGAAAGCCGAGACUCAGAUAAUUCUACGCGUUUUGGUUGAUUUAUAUAAUUCGUGAAAUUUUAUUUCCAUCUGUUACAAGAUCAAACUGCAAUUAGCAAUUUAACAUUCCCUUAAAACCACUAGCUACAUUUCAUCUUUGCACAAUUACACUUAAAAUUCCACUAAAAGAAACUCUUGAGUUGCUCGCAAGCUAUAUAUCAUUAUUCAUUGAAUUCUUACUGUUGAUGCGAGAUUCUGGUUACACUCUUCCGGCUACCAGGAUAUCUGCUCGAUCAACCUCACCUCGACUAGGAUCUCUCCUCGUAUGCUUUCUUCUCCAAGUACUCAUGCGUUCACAGAAACAAGUCAGAGCACGCCGGUUGUUUUCCCGGCGUAAACCCUCCGACGCUCAAGUCAGAUAUGAAGGCUUUGGGAACGCUUGCCACAGAUCUUAUGGCUUUGUAAAUAGUUUUCUCUUCUUUUCAAUUUCCUUAAUCUCUCUUCUAAUCUCGAAAUUGCUAACCCUUUUACCUUCGCUGGCUACCUUUUUAUAGGCCACUUCUGAGCCCAGGCCUUUUUCCCUUUGCGCUCGUCAUCCUCCCACUUCUCGAAAGUGGAUGCUCCAUUUCCGUAGUCGUGGGUGGUUGCGUGGCCCUCGUGCCUAGAUUCUCGGACUGGAAAGCAUGCCACGCCAACUGUCGUUGACCGGGUCUUCUCGAAUCAACCCUUAGCAGGAAUACAGCAGGAAUGGCUUCAGGCUUCUUAUAGGAGAUUGGCCUCGCGGAUGACGUGCUCGUGGACGAGCAGGGUAUUCCUGCUCCUGCUCCUGCUCCCCCGGAUGCCAGGCUCUUACGGGACCCAUCGGCUCGCAGAACUCUACCAUCAGAUAUCUGCUCAUCAUGCCUGGUCUCGUCGACGUAUUUCUCCUAAACACCGGUCCCCCAGUUUCUGGUGUUGGGUAAUGUAGUGGACCAGCAGUAGAAACUCGACAGUACUUGCUCGCGUGGGGUUGGAAAAGGCUUCCAAGAGUCAUGUCGCAUUUAAUUGCGGACGAGGUGAUGUGGCAGAGAUCUAACCCUCCAUUUGAAUUUCAAACCAACGGUUACGAGACCCUUGGGAUUUGGUGCCGUUAAAUGCUGGCAACCCAAGAUUUCGUCCCCAUUAGGAAACCCAAAUCCUUUCGAACGACAAAUUCAUCAUUCACUCCGUCUCCAUCUCUGUCUCUCCGGCAAAGAAGUUCCAGCAUAAAGGCCUCCAUCUCUGUCUUUCACCGACUGAACCAUUACUUCAGGUAUUUCUUCUAUUUCCUUAGUCUCGGAUAGUUGUAGAUAAUUUCUCUUCUCUUUUGCUUGGGUAGUAGUUGGUGGUGGUGUUGUGGUUAGAGCUUAGGGAAUGUCGAAAGGCAAAGAGAAUGUCAUUGAGGUUGACGACGAUGAGUUGGACUUCCUGCCUAGUUUGCUCACCGAUCCUGCUUUUGACCCCGGGAUCCCCUUAGAGCUCAUUAGAUCUAGUGUUGGCACUAGCGCUAGGAGGAUGUCCCCCCAAACAACCUCCACGAGUGGAAGUAGUGGUGAGGAGAGACCCUCUGGCUCGGAAGACACCCUAAGUGAGGAUCAAUGAGGUGACUCUGGGGAGGGGUCUUCACCAGGAACACCGCGACCAGAAGGGUGUAGUACAGUAGGAGGUAGAGCCUUGUCGCGGGAUUAUGCCAUUGAUUACAUGACCUGUACGACCACAUUCAACGAGCUGGAUGACCUCCGGCUCAGGUAUAGCAUUCCUGGUGAAAUUCCUCUCAAGAUCCCAGGAAAGAAGGAUACACCUAGCCGGCCUCCUCGGGGAUACGUUACCCUAUUUUUGGAGAGUUUUAGGCAUGGGCUGAGGUGUCCCUUGCAACCCUACUUUGCCCGGAUUCUUAACGGGCUAAACCUAGCUCCUGGUCAGCUGAACCCCAACGGGUGGAGAGUGCUCUCUGGUCUGUUCAUACUGUGGGACAGAUGUUGUCAAAGCGAGCCCACGGUCGACGAGGUGAAGCACCUGUACCAACUGAAAAGCAGCCCCAAAGACGUCGGCUGGUAUUACUUCCAAUCAAGUACCAAGAUCAGAAAACCCAUAACCGAUCUUCUUACUGGUGAUGGUGGGAAUUGGAAGAGGAAGUUCUUCUUCGCAGGGGGUCCCUUGUUGUUUGCACUUCACUGGUUUGUCUCUAAUCAAAUGUUUGUUUGUGUUGCAGGUUCUUGGGGUGUCCACUUCCCGCUUAAACCUGACCAGCUCAAACGAGUCGAGGCUGUACUAGCCAAUUCCUGCUCGAACCGAGAGCUGUUAACUAUAUACAACUUGCUCGAGUCUCGCUUGAUGCUUCCUGGCCAUAGGAUGGAGGACGCUGUGAUUGGGGCUCUGACCAGGAAACGUUCUCGACCUCCAACCACGAAGAGGGACCAGAGUAAGGACGCCCCUACUGCAAAGCGGGCCAACGUCGUGCAGCAGGUCUCUCCCUUGAAGACUUUACCUCCUGCUCCUGUCAAAGUCGGGGAAACUAGUGGAGCAGCCACAGAUCCUGCUUCCUCUUCUUCUCCUGUCGGCACUCGGUCUCGCUUACCUGACAGCCGAUCAGAACAAUUGGUCCCCUAUCUCAAUGAGUUAUCUAACCUCGUGAGCAAGAAUGACAUGGAGGACUUCGAUGGCUGCACCUUGGGUGAGCUGGUGGGGGCCAUGCAGUAUAGCGCUUUUCACCUCAGCUGCAUGACCACCUAUUACAAGGCCAAGGUUGGGCGCUACGACCGAAAGAUGAAGGAGGACAUUCAAUCGGCGACGACUAGAGCUGGCGUUGCCGAGAAAAAGGCAGGGGAGCUGAAUGUUGAGAACCUCAAGCUGAUGGAGCAGGAAUCUCUUGCUCAAGCAAAAGCCAUUACCCUCGAGGAGGAGCUGACCAAGGUCAAGGGGGAUCUGCAAAGGCAGAAGGCCACGUAUGAGGCUCAGCUCGAAUCCCUCCGCGACUCCCACCGGGCUCACGUCGAGAACUUGGAGAGGGAGGCCAAGAACCAGUAUGACCAGGGACUUCGGCAUUCCUAUCGUUGCAUCAUGGCCGUCCUCGGGAAGCAGCACCCUGAUCUGAAGAUGGAUGAUCUUGCAGUUGGUGUUGCUCAACAUAUGGACGAGGAAGCGGCCAAGGAAGAUGCCGAAGGGGUAGAGCCGAUCGUGAUUGAGGGGGAAAACUCUCCUCCUCGCACAAUCCCUGCUGACGUUGGCGAGGCGAGCACCGCUACUGAUGUUGGCGAGGCGCGCACCCCCCCGGACGCAACUGGUGAUACCCCCCCCCCGCACCUGAGGAGGUCCAGCCAACCAAUGCUGCUCGGCUUACUGAUCCGCCAUCUUCUUGAUAUAUUUCUUGUAUUGUAAUGAACAACGUUGAUGGAGAUUAUCUCCUCUGUUAAUUAUUAACACAUAAAUAAAGAUGUUUUUGAUUAUUUUCGUGUUGUAAUCAUGAGUUAUUUUUCGUUUAAUAAUCUGCCCGUCAUCGUCUGGUUGAGCAGGUUCUGGCCUGGCAUAUGGUUUUACCACAUGCCCUAGAAAAUUCUUCAAUGAUUGAGAUUCUGCUCGCCUUCGCGUGGUCGAGCAGAUCCUGGCACGCUUGGCUUCUGUCUCGCCAUAAACAGGCUUUGAGACUCGACGAGCCUUUGCAUGCCUUAGAAAUAUUUUUUUUUUUCGAUGCUUGGGGGUUCUGCUCGCCUUCGCGUGGUCGAGCAGACCCUGGCACGCUUGGCUUCUGUCUCGCCAUAAACAGGCUUUGAGACUUGACGAGCCUUUGCAUGCCUUAGAGAUUUUUUCGAUGCUUGGGGAUUCUGCUCGCCGUCACGUGGUCGAGCAGAUCUUGGCACGCUUGGCUUCUGUCUCGUCAUAAACAGGCUUUGAGACUUGACGAGCCUUUGCAUGCCUUGGAGAUUUUUUCGAUGCUUGGGGAUUCUGCUCGCCGUCACGUGGUCGAGCAGAUCCUGGCACGCUUGGCUUCUGUCUCGCCAUAAACAGGCUUUGAGACUUGACGAGCCUUUGCAUGCCUUAGAGAUUUUUUCGAUGCUUGGGGAUUCUGCUCGCCGUCACGUGGUCGAGCAGAUCCUGGCACGCUUGGCUUCUGUCUCGCCAUAAACAGGCUUUGAGACUUGACGAGCCUUUGCAUGCCUUGGAGAUUUUUUCGAUGCUUGGGGAUUCUGCUCGCCGUCACGUGGUCGAGCAGAUCCUGGCACGCUUGGCUUCUGUCUCGCCAUAAACAGGCUUUGAGACUUGACGAGCCUUUGCAUGCCUUAGAGAUUUUUUCGAUGCUUGGGGAUUCUGCUCGCCGUCACGUGGUCGAGCAGAUCCUGGCACGCUUGGCUUCUGUCUCGCCAUAAACAGGUUUUGAGACUUGACGAGCCUUUGCAUGCCUUGGAGAUUUUUUCGAUGCUUGGGGAUUCUGCUCGCCGUCACGUGGUCGAGCAGAUCCUGGCACGCUUGGCUUCUGUCUCGCCAUAAACAGGCUUUGAGACUUGACGAGCCUUUGCAUGCCUUGGAGAUUUUUUCGAUGCUUGGGGAUUCUGCUCGCCGUCACGUGGUCGAGCAGAUCCUGGCACGCUUGGCUUCUGUCUCGCCAUAAACAGGCUUUGAGACUUGACGAGCCUUUGCAUGCCUUAGAAAUUUUUCACAGUUUCAAGUGAAUGAAAUUCCUCGACGUUCCAUUAAUUGUAGGAUUCAACUUACAUGAAAAUGUUUGGUCGUAAAAUAAAUAACAGCAAAUACGAACAGAAAGAUCUUGAAAAUAUUAACGACUCUUACUGGAAAUAUUUCCUGAGAUGUGCUGCGUUCCAUGGGCGCUUCACCUCGUGGCCAUCCAUGCGAACCAGCUUGUAAGCUCCUGGUCCCACUAGCUGCUUGACUCUAUAUGGCCCCUCCCAAUUUGGACCGAGCACUCUUUGAGUCGAGUCUUUGGUGUUCUGAUUCACUCUCCUUAACACCCAAUCUCCGACCUUGAACUGCCGUAUGUUCACCUUCUGGUUAUAAUACCGGGCAACCCUCUGCUGGUAAAUGACUGAUCGCUCGGCUGCUUGCUCCCUCUUUUCCGUUAGCAGAUCAAGAUUCAAACAUAUCUGCUCGUCGUUCUCCUGUUCAUUGAAAUGAUAUGUCCGGUGCGUGGUCGUUCCUAUCUCAGUUGGCACGACCGCUUCAUGUCCAAAAGCCAAGGCGAACGGUGUCUCCCCAGUUGCUGUUUUGUGGGUUGUUCUGUAUGCCCAUAGCACACCUGACAGCUCAUCAACCCAUGCACCCUUUUUUGCUCCCAGCCUGGUUUUCAAAAGCCUCUUGAUGGUCUUGUUGGCUGCUUCUACUUGUCCAUUCGAUUGGGGGUGAGCAGGCGAGCAAUACUUCAGCUCUAUUCCGAGGUUCUGGCAGAAAUCCCUGAAGCUGUGAUUAUCGAAUUGUCUGCCAUUAUCCGUUACCAGGGCAUAAGGGAUCCCGUAUCGACAGACCAGGUUUCUCCACACAAAGUCUGUUGUUUUCUUCUCUGUGAUCUUGCUAAGGGCUUCUACCUCUAUCCAUUUCGUGAAGUAGUCUAUAGCAACUAUUGCAUGUGUUGCUGCUCCUCGUCCCUUUGGCAGCGGGCCGAUCAGAUCAAUUCCCCAUUGAGCAAAUGGCCAAGGGGAGGCCAUAGAGGUGAGCUUUUCUGGUGGUUGGUUGGAGAAACUUGCAAAACUCUGGCAACUUACACAGCUCCUGGUCUUCUCCUGUGCAUCCUGGUGCAUUGUCGGCCAGAAAUAUCCCUGCCUUAGAACCUUGUGGGCCAGGGACCUCCCACCAGAAUGAUUCCCGCAAAUUCCUUCAUGUACUUCUCUCAGUACGUAAUCUGCGUCGUCCUCAUCCAAACAUCGGAGGAAAGGUAGUAUAUAUCCUCGCCGAUACAGUACCCCAUCAAUCAUCGUGUAUCUUGAGGCCUGGGCUCUAACCUUCCGAGCUCGCAGCUUAUCUGGUGGUAAUACCCCGUCUCUGAGGUAUGAAAUUAUCGGGUCCAUGCACGAGCAUUUUUGUUCUAUCCGCAACACCCCCAAAUUCUGCUCGAUACUUGGGCUGGACUUCACCUCCAGAGGGACCGACUUUGGCAUUUUUGGGUCGGCUACUGCUGCCAUCCUGGCCAAAGUGUCUGCUCGACUAUUCUGCUCCCUGGGGAUCUGUAUCACCUCCACUGCUUCAAAUUUCCCCAUCAUCUGCCUGACUAUCUUCAGGUACUGCUCCAUCUUCUUCUCUCUUGGUUGGAAUCUUUCGCUGACAUGAUUCGCAACCAGCUGGGAAUAAGUUCUGAUCUUCACUCUGUCUGCUUUCACGGCCUUAGCCAAUUCCAAACCUGCUAUCAAGGCUUCAUACUCUGCCUGGUUAUUUGUGGCUCCAAAUUCCAACUUCACAACAUAAGAGAUCUCCUCCCCCUCCGGGCCUUCCAAGACAAUCCCUGCUCCAGAACCCUGCUCCCCUGAUGACCCAUCCACAUACAUCUGCCAUACUUGAGCUUCGCCACUGUCUGUGACUACAUCUGGUCCAUCUAAACAUACUUCGGGCUCUGUGAAUUCAGCUACGAAAUCGGCCAUUGCCUGAGCCUUUAUCGCUGCUCGGGGUUUGUAGUCUAUGUCGAACUCGCUCAGCUCUAUAGCCCACUUGACGAGCCGACCAGAAGCAUCUGGCUUGUGCACAGUUUGACGCAAUGACUGGUUUGUUAUUACCGAGACCGGGAAUGCUUGGAAAUAUGGCCUCAACUUCCGAGCCGCAACCACAAGGGCAAGUGCCCAUUUCUCCAACGGUGGGUAUCUGGUCUCAGCGUCGAGCAGGGCCUUGCUUGUGUAGUAUAUCGGAUACUGAACUCCUUCUUCCUCUCUCACCAGAACAGAACUGGCGGCCCGAUCCGAUACCGCCAAAUACAGAUAUAACUUGUCCCCAUCCCUCGGUGUGGACAGUAGUGGAGCUUGCUGCAAGUAUUGCUUCAAGUUCUGGAAGGCUUCCUCGCAUUCUGGUGUCCAUUCUGUUUUCUUUCCCCUCCUUAUCACUUAAAAGAAUGGCUGACACUUGUCUGUAACCUUGGAUAUGAAUCUGCUCAACGCAGCCAACCUCCCCGUGAGGCUCUGCAUCUCCUUCAGGUUACGAGGAGACCUCAUCUGCACAAUUGCCUGGAUUUUCUCCGGAUUUGCUUCAAUCCCCCUAUGGCUCACCAUGAAUCCAAGGAAUUUCCCUGACUCGACCCCAAAAGCACACUUCUCCGGGUUGAGCUUCAUCUUAUACUUCCUCAAAAGCCCGAAUGUCUCCUCGAGGUGCCUGACAUGUUCCUUCGAGAUUUUGGAUUUGGUGAUCAUGUCGUCCACGUACACCUCCAUGGUUUUCCCAAUCAACGGCUUAAAGACUUUGUUCACCAGCCUCUGAUAGGUGGCCCCAGCAUUUUUUAGACCAAAUGGUAUUACCCUGUAACAGAACAAACCCUGGUUAGUGAUGAAAGCCGUGCUCUCCUCAUCCUGCUCGUACAUGGGGAUUUGGUUGUAUCCCGAGAACGCGUCCAUGAAACUAAGCAGACCGUGUCCAGCCGUUGAAUCUACUAGUUGAUCGAUCUUUGGUAAAGGGAAGCUGUCUUUUGGGCACGCCUUAUUAAGGUCUGUGAAAUCCACACACAUCCUCCACUUGCCAUUUGCCUUCUUUACCAACACCACAUUCGAUAUCCAUUCAGGGUAAUUGACUUCCCGAAUGAACCCUGCUCUCAAGAGCUUCUCCACCUCGACAUUUAUAGCCUCAUACCUCUCCUGAUUGAAGCACCUCCUCUUCUGCCUUACUGCCCGAGCACCUUUCUUUAUUGCCAGCUUAUGACAUGCUACCUCAGGGUCAAUCCCUGGCAUAUCUUCAUGUGUCCAAGCAAACACAUCUGCAUGAGCCUGUAAGCAUUUCACUAACUCCUGCUUUUGCUCUCCCUUAAGUCUCGACCCGAUUCUGAUUGUUUUUCCCGGAUUCUCUGGUCCCAGGCUUACUGUUUCCAGAUCCUCUACAGGUUCUUGUCUGCCAUUCUUGUUUUCCACUCGGGUAUCGAGGGAUGUUAUCUGCAUUGCUUCCCUUGCUGCUGAGGAGUAGCAGCUUCUUGCGAUCCUCUGAUCUCCUCGUACCACUCCAACUACCCCAUUCACCCGGUACUUCAGAGCCAGAUAAUGGUUGGACAGCAUCGCUUUGCUCAUCCUCAGAAAUGGCCGACCUAGGAUCAUCUGGUAAGGACCUUCCUCAUCCACUACCAUAAAGUCCAGUAUCAUUGUCCUUUCUGUCGGGGAGCUCCCAAUCGUGAUAGGCAGCUCGACCAUGCCCAGAGGGACCAGCCUUCCUCCUCCAAACCCCUUCAAGGAGGUAUUGGUGUAAUCCAACUUCAGGUCUGCUAUUCUCAUCUCCUUCAGGGUUGACUUAAACAACACAUCAACUGAACUCCCUGUGUCAACCAGUAUCCUGUCAAACUUCUUGCUAGCAACAGUGGCCUUGAUGACCAAAGCAUCCUCGUGGGGGUAUAUGAUCCCUUCUUCAUCCUCAUCUGUCCACAUGAUUGGCACUUGCCUGACUCUUGCACGUUUGGCUGCUGGGGUGUUGAAGAAUACCUUUUUGCUGGUCAUGGCGUAUCUAGCAUAAUUUUUCCUCGAUCUGUUAGAAUCUCCGGCCAAUGUUGGGCCCUCAGCUAUAACCCUUACUGCAGGCUGCUCGCGCCUCAAGUUCCUGUCACUCUGCUCCCCUUCACUUGUUGAGGCUACCAUUGGGAAGGUCCCAUCUACGAACUCGUCCAGAUACCGAUUUCUCACUAAAUCUUCAACCUGGGUCUUAAGAUCUCUGCAAUCUGCUGUGGUGUGGCCAUGAGUGCCAUGGAACUUACAAUAGCGUCCCCUAUCCCUCAUGCUGGGUAGCUUGGUUAUUGGAGCAGGGAGGUAUAGCAACCCCCGAUCCUUUAUGGCCUCGUACACCUCGUCCAGGGACAUCUUCAAGGAAGUGUACCGCCCAUAGUCCUAGUUCUGGUCGAUCAGGUGUACUGCUCUUUCUCUGUUUGCUCCGUUCUGGGUUGGGGGCGGUGGCAGUACUUCUGGUCUGCUCCCUCUGCUACCGUGGGAGUGUUGAUGAGCACCAUAUGAUGAAUCAUGCCUUCUCCAAGGCUCCCUAGCUGUGGAACGAGGAGGCUGCGCCCUGCUGCGCUGAUACUGUGGUGGGCUCUGAUGAGGCUGGUAAGCAAUUACCCGACCUCCUGCUCCAUUACCCGAGGCCUGGUGGUCCCUCCUCCUGAUCGGCCCAUUCCCCGGUAAUGCUUUCUUCUCUUUCCUCCCCAACCCUUCUAACUGGUCUAUCUUAAUUCGUGCUGCCUUCUCCUCUUCAAUCUCAAUGUCUCUCUUAGCCUGCUCGUAUGCGGCCGCAUACGUCUGGAUAGCUGGGCUUCUCAAAUUGUACCACAGCCUUCCUAUCUUCACCCUUUCUUUCAAUCCCCUUAACGCCUGAGGGUGGUUGAAGGCUCCCAAGUCGAGGACAGCCCGAUGAAACCUCUUGAUGAAUUCCCGAAGGGUUUCUUGCUCCCCCUGUUUCAUGCUUUUCAGCUCCAUCAUGUCAUCUUCUGGGGCCAUUGCCCCACUAAACUGCUCUGCGAAUUCCUGGCACAUCUGCUCGAAGGUUUUAAUGCUGCCCCGAGGAAGUUUCCUGUACCACUCGCGUGCACGUCCCUCCAGGGAUAGUGGAAACACCCUGCACCUUUGGGGCUGAGAUAAUCCUUGUACCCCCGUUAUGUCAUUGAAGCGUUCUAUGUGCACCAGCGGAUCAGUUCGUCCCGAAUAUCUAAGGUCCGGGAGACGGAAAUCCCUCGGAAUAAUUGCCCUCAUGAUCUCUGCUGCGAGCAGUGAUUCUCCGUCCAGCAUUAUCCUCCAACCAGGAGCUCUGCUCCUUCCUUGCAUAUCGUCAAUUAUCUGCGCUAGUCUGCGCACUUCCUCCUCCAGCUGUACUGCACGACCAGGGUCACGUGCUGCAACUUGAUCCCUCUCUUGCUCUACAUCAUGCAAGUGUUGCCUCAACUCUGUUUCUUCUGCAUUCGCCACCCCGUCGUCCUCGUAAAAAAUCUGUCUUGCCGGGGAUUGCUCUUCUUCUCUAUGAAAUUCUCCCCGUAGAGGUAUGUUACCUCUCUCACCACUAAAUCUCCCGGUGGUUUGACUUCUCCUCGUACCAUCGGGACCUGGUGUCACUCCACCACCUCUCACCAUUUCCUCCUGGGUUACCCUUCGUUCACUCCGCAACUCAUGCAGGAUGGUUGUCAGGGUCUCCAUCUGCUUUUCCAUCCGUUCCAUCCGGUCGAACAUGGCUUUUUCCCGUGCUUCGCUGGCUAUCUCCCUCAGCGUUACAGAAUCGUUAAGCCUCAUAUCACCCCCUUGUGCACUACUUCCUCCUGCCUCCAUUGCUUUUCACUUGCUUCACUCCUCUUCUUGCUAUCAACAGAAGCUUUUUGCUCAGCUCCCCACAGACGGCGCCAAAAUGUUGAUGCGAGAUUCUGGUUACACUCUUCCGGCUACCAGGACAUCUGCUCAAUCAACCUCACCUCGACCAGGAUCUCUCCUCGUAUGCUUUCUUCUCCAAGUACUCCUGCGUUCACAGAAACAAGUCAGAGCACGCCGGUUGUUUUCCCGGCGUAAACCCUCCGACGCUCAAGUCAGAUAUGAAGGCUUUGGGAACGCUUGCCACAGAUCUUAUGGCUUUGGAAAUAGUUUUCUCUUCUUUUCAAUUUCCUUAAUCUCUAUUCUAAUCUCGAAAUUGCUAACCCUUUUACCUUCGCUGGCUACCUUUUUAUAGGCCACUUCUGAGCCCAAGCCUUUUUCCCUUUGCGCUCGUCAUCCUCCCACUUCUCGAAAGUGGAUGCUCCAUUUCUGUAGUCGUGGGUGGUUGCGUGGCCCUCGUGCCUAGAUUCUCAGACUGGAAAGCAUGCCACGCCAACUGUCGUUGACCGGGUCUUCUCGAAUCAACCCUUAGCAGGAAUACAGCAGGAAUGGCUUCAGGCUUCUUACAGGAGAUUGGCCUCGCGGAUGACGUGCUCGUGGACGAGCAGGGUAUUCCUGCUCCUGCUCCUGCUCCCCCGGAUGCCAGGCUCUUACGGGACCCAUCGGCUCGCAGAACUCUACCAUCAGAUAUCUGCUCAUCAUGCCUGGUCUCGUCGACGUAUUUCUCCCAAACACUUACCACAUAUAUGUCACCUUUCAAUCAAUUGUUGAAAAAUUCAAAUUUGGAAUUCAAAUACAUGCAUUCAAAUUUGGAACACUUUGAACGGUCCGAUUCAAAACUUCAUAUUCCAAUUAUAUUCAUAAGACAAAUGGAACACUUUGAACGGCUUGUGUCCGAGCAUUGUAGUUUGAUUUAUUUUGAUGACAUUACCUUUUGACAUUGAGAUUCUUUCAGGAUUUAAACAUUCUUUUUAAAACCAAAUUAUUAAAAAAAAAUAACUAACAUAUAUUAUUUUAUUAGUGCUUUUUAAAUCAAAUAUACAUAGGAGAACUGUAAUUCUUAGCAAUCAAUUUUCCACUAAAUACACCUGCAACAAACUAUUAAUAACAAAGUGAUAGAAAAUACCUGAUUUUUCAUACUUUCUAAUUUCUUUUGGUCCUAAAAUAUGGGCAUUUGUGUAAUAAUAAGCCCAUGUGGAUCUCUAUGCCAUGAGUUUGAUAAAUAGCUAUCAAGGAUCACUUAUUAAGCUAAAAAUAUUUGGAGGACAAAAUUGUAAAACUAAAAGGGUGGAGCAAAUAUGGCUAUCUAGGAUUAAAUAGUAAGUCAACUAUAUUUAAAGGAUAAAAUAUUAAAACUUGAAUUGUGAUAUUAAAAAUAUCUCAACUAUUAUAUUAUUAAACCAUAUGUUCUAAUAGUUUUUUUUUUAAGCUUCAAAAUGUUCAGGAUUUUAGAUUGAAACAUUUUCAAUUGAAAUAAUUUGGUGCAGUCACAAGUUAAGAAAGAAAAAGUUGUCCCAUUGGUCAUUUCACAAAAAUGAAAGCCCUGUAUAACAUGGACGUGAAUGGAAACCCAAUUGUUUGUGUUUGAUUAAUUGAUUUCAAGCUUUAUCUAACCUUUGGACCUGGAUACUUUACUGCGGCCUCUAAGCGCUAUAAAUUUUUUUGGGGAUAAACGGCGCUUCAAUGAGGGCAUCUCCAAUGCUUAACACCAUUUUGGUGUAACACCAACAUUAAAAAUAUACAUUUUUCACACUAAAUUACUAUUUCAUCUCCAACCCAUUUACACCAAAUUUUACACCAAAAAUAAUAUUUUUUUUAUUCUUUUAAUUCUCAAGAAUUAAUUCAAUUAACACAAUAAAUACUACUAUUAACAUAGAUAAUUAAGUAAUAAGUAAUUUUAUCAAUUAACAAAAAAAAUAGAAAAUUAUUAAAUUUGCAUUUAAUUAACUAAAUUAGUACAUUAUGAAAAUUAAACAUUACAUUAAUAUAGAAAAAUACAAUAAAAAUAAUAAUAAUUUUAUAUCUAAUAUUUUGAUGAUAUUGGAGGAUCUAAUAAUGAUCUUCCAGAUUAUUAAAUAAUUGUUCUAAUUUAUACUAGUAGUAGUAGCUUUUUUAAUUUGUGUUAAUUUAAUUUUGUAAUAUGUAAUAUAGUAAUUAAUGUUAUUGGCAUUUUAUUUUUAUUAUUAAUUUUUGUGUUGAAUUUUUUUAUUUAAAAUAUUAGUAUAAUAUUAAAAAAUUAAAAAUGAAAUAAAUAAUAACAAAAAUAAUAAUAAUAACUUAAAAUAUUAUAUAAAAAAGGACAUAUAUGUAAAUAAGAAAAAGUAAUAAAGAUAUUUAGGACUCUUUUUUCCUAGCACCAAAUGAAUAGUGUUACACCAUAUUUGGUGCAAUACUAUUCAUAACACCAAUUUGCUGUUCGUUUUGAUGUUACAUUGGAGAAGCAUUUUACACAAAAAAUGGUGUAAAAGGUAGUUUGGUGUUAGUUUUGGUGUCACAUUGGAGAUGGCCUGGAAAAACACUUGAAAACUUUGGAUUUUUGGUUCGUCCAGUUACGGUGUUAUGCUAAUGGGGUUAAAAGUUCCGAUCCAAUGAGUUAGGAUGGAAUAUGAAUAUAUAAAUUCCAUAGCAUGUAAGGACUAGGAUUUGUUUGUUCAUAUCAAGAAAAAAAAGAUCCGAAAAUUUGAUGAUCAGAAGAUGAAGACACGUUUAUUACAGAGAAACAAACGACAACAUGAUACUAGUAGUAGUUAUUCUUUUCAUCCGAUAUAUUACAUGGUAAUAUCACUACUCGUUCCACUGGUUUCAUAUACACCAUCGAUCAGCAACAUGAUAAUUUUGUGUCAGUUCAUUUUGUUUGUAGGAAAGAGCAGUGUAUUUCUUAGAGCUUGAAAAUAAUAAAAAGAUUUUAAAAUAUAAAUUGCAUAUUUGUUUAUUACAGUUGUUUGGUCUAAUUUCUUAUGUAGAAUUGCUUGUCAUUCUUUGGACGUUAUUGAUUAUAUUUUUGUCAGACUUGGCGUAUAUAUUCACACAUACGUUUUAUUUUGUCAUUUUGUAGAACAUUUUUACACGCCAUAUUAUCACGACUCUUCUCUGUCUGAAUAAGAAGAAAGCAUAAUGCGACCCUCCAAUAGCUUAAUCUAUGGAAUUAUCGUGUUUUGUAAGUUGAGGUCCAAUGGCGUUUUGGCACAUCAUAUGAUAGCCCACUAUAUUGCGUUGCUUUACAAAAGAUUAAUAUUUUGAAAAUUAUUAGGUAAGUUUAGGCUCAGUGGCACUUUAACUCAUGAUAUGAUUGUCCAGGUUUUCGAGGACCACUAUAUUCUAUUGAUUUAAAAAAAAUUAAUAUUUUUUAAUAUUAAUAUUCUAAAUUAUAUUCAGUUCAAAUAUUAAAUAUUAAAUACAUUCUUAAUAUUAAUAUUCUUAGAUGAAAUUCUUUUGCUGACUUAAGAAUAAAAUAUUAAAUAAUUUUAUUUUUCUUUUAUUCUGUAACGUGGACCCAAUAAAAAAAGGAAAUGAAUUUAAUAAAACCUUCAUUCAAAAUCUUCAUUCCGCCACCAUGCAUGUUAAUUGUUUCCAAAUUCCAACCUCCGUACUCUCUUGAGGAGUUUCCCAUUCAUCAAUUAUUAUUUUUUAUAAUCCAUACCAUCCUGAUAUAAUUAAACACCAUUAAUAAUGUACCAACCUUUAAAUAGUAAUUAAUUUAUUUAUCUAAUUCACCAAAUGUUUUUUCCGGUACAUAUCUCCAUUGGUAUCAAGAAGAAGCAGAACCCAAAGAAAUGUUUCUUGCAUCUUCAUAUUUGUGCGAAUUCAUCCUUUCAUUGAGAAUAACCAUUUCCAGGCAGCAGUUGGCAAUCAAUUCAUGCGCACGUCGAUGCUAUUCAUAGAUACUAAAGACAAUGAUGAACCAAAGGUGAUAAAUCAUAAAUGCAUAAUUACCAAACCUCCAUCCUUCUCUCAUUAUGAUUUGAUUUUAAAUGAAUUAUUGCUUGGUAACAUUAUUUCCAACCAUUGCAAGACCUUUUUUUUGGAGAAAUUUCAAUUGAAAGUGAAACCUUUAGACAUUUACCUAAUGAAGUUAGUUAAUCGGGAGGGUCGGAAAAAAAAAGUUGACGCAAGUCAAUACACAAUAAUCAAUUAAAUCCGGAGUGACUAAAACAGAGCCACUACUUUUUAAAAAAUAUCUGCAUUAAUCACUUUCUCCAGCAACUAGUCAGCUACACACGAAUCAAUUUCUCUCCUCGUUUGUCAUCCAAAAUUAUUCACCAAUACCAUGGCUGAUGCAAUCGUUUCCACUAUCUUGGAGCAGCUGAUUUCCUUCGCUGCUGAAGAGAUAAAACAACAGGUGAUCGAAGUUUCACCCCUCAUAUUACAAAUACUUCCAAUGAUUUUAAUUGGCUUUGUUUUUAUCAAAAACAUUAUAUAUUUUUGCUUUUUUUUUAUUUAUCUGAUAAUUUUAUAUUUUGAAAUUUGAAUUGAAUUUAAUUAAAAGGUGAUGUAGUAACCACUCAUUUUUAUUUUAUUUCAUUUCUAUUCUCGAUAACUAACCAUAUUUUGGUAACUUAAUAUGACUCUCGUACAUAAGAAAUGAUCAAAACCCACAAUUUUAACUAUGUAUAAAUAUUCAACGUUGAGCUAAGGUUUUGCAGAACAUUCAAGUUUAUCAAAUAGUCAUUAAUUUAAUGUUUUAGUAAAACCUCAACUCAUCACUGAAUCCCAUAGCUAUUACUUAGACUCUAUGAAAAAUUUCAUAGUUUUCUUACAUUCUUUCAGUUUGGUAAGUGAUUUCAUAUAAUUUCUGUUCAAUAUAAAUUUUAAUUUGGUUUCUUAUAUACUCUCUUUGCUGAAUUUGUAUCUUUUAUGAUUCUUAGAUUUUGGGCUCUAACAUUUUAGGAUUUGAUAGUCACAUUUUAUGCCAUGCUUAGAUUGAUUUUCAUGAUUUUUACUACCCAUUAAGUGACUUAGAAUUUGACAAAAGUUUGAAAGGAAAUCUGCUUCAGGAUUCUGUUUUAAUUGACCUUUUAGUGGAAAUAGGAUGCUUAUAACUUAAUGUGGAUGGUUCGUAAAAUCAUGAAAUUUGGAUAGAAUUAACUAGAAAUAUGUACAAGACUCUCCAUGAAGUCUCAUAAUUUUUCAUUCGGUCUGGGGUGGUACAGGUGAAACUUGUGGUUGGUGUUGAAAAAGAAGUGAAAAGCCUUACCAGCCAUCUUCAAGCCAUUCAAGUUGUGCUCGAUGAUGCAGAGGAAAAGCAAGUGAAGGAAAAAGCUGUUAGUCUUUGGCUGGGUAGGCUCAAGUAUGCAUCCUACGACAUUGAAGAUGUGUUGGAUGAGUGGAUCACAACAAGACGCAAAUUGCAAAUUGAGGGUGGCAUUGGUGAAAAUGCUCUUGUUGUUCCUCAUAAGAAAAAGAAGGUAUGUCUCUGCUUUCCCGGCUCUUGUUUUGGAUUCAAACAAGAAGAAUUUGGUUUCAAACAAGUCUUUCUCCGUCAUGACAUUGCCGACAAGAUCAAAGAAAUCAAUGAAGAGCUACAUGAUAUUGCCGCUCAAAAAGACAUGUUUGAUCUUGUUAAGAGUGGCAAUAAAAGUAGUGAAAGACCAAGGCGUGUACAGAGUACCUUCUUGAUUGAUGAGGAAGAGAUUUGUGGCAGAGUUGGUGAGAGGAAUGAACUCUUAAGCAAGCUGUUGUGUGAGAGUAGCGAGCAACAAAAAGGCCUUCAUAUCAUCUCAAUCGUUGGUAUGGGAGGCAUAGGGAAAACAACUCUUGCACAACUAGCUUGUAAUCAUGACGAGGUGAAGAGAAAGUUCGACAAAAUUCUGUGGGUGUGUGUAUCAGAAACUUUUGAGGAGUUUAGGGUUGCCAAAGCGAUCGUUGAAGUUUUGGAUGGUCGUGAAUCUCAUUUAGCUGAAUUCCAUUCUCUUCUUCAACAUAUUUAUGAAUCCAUUGCAGGGAAGAGCUUUCUUCUUGUCUUAGAUGACGUGUGGGAUGGAAAUUACUUGAAAUGGGAACCAUUCUACCGUUGUCUAAAGAAUGGUCUCCAUGGAAGUAAAAUUUUAGUUACCACACGUAAAGGGUCAGUCGCAUCCAUGAUGGGAUCCAUAGAUAUUAUCUCCGUUAAGGAGUUAGCUGAAGAGGAAUGUUGGUUGUUGUUUAACAAGAUAGCAUUUUUUGAUCGGUCCAUCGAGGAACGUGAAAAAUUAGAACAAAUUGGGCAAAGAAUUGCAGGCAAGUGCAAAGGUUUACCUCUUGCAGCAAAGACAAUAGGGAGUCUCAUGCGUUCUAAACAAACUGAAGAAGAGUGGAAAAGAAUUUUAAAUAGUGAUUUAUGGAAAGUAGAAGAGAUUGAGAAAGAUGUUUUGUCCUCUUUAUUGUUGAGUUAUAAUGAUUUGCCAUCUAGAGUAAAAAGAUGUUUUUCAUAUUGUGCUGUCUUUCCAAAAGACUACAAUAUAGAAAAAGACAAACUAAUCACGUUAUGGAUGGCUCAAGGUUAUCUUAGUGCAGAAGAAGAUGAAGAGAUGGAGACAGUAGGUGAAGAGUAUUUUGGCAUCUUAGCUUCUCGCUCAUUUUUUCAAGAGUUUAAGAAAAGUUAUGAUAAUCGGAUUAUAGAGUGUAAGAUGCAUGAUAUGGUACAUGAUUUUGCCCGAUUUGUAAGUCAAAAUGAAUGUUUUUCGAUGGCAAUCAAUGGUAGUGAAGAACCAAACGCCACAAACUCUCUUGAUGAGAAGGUCCGUCAUUUAAUGUUAAUCUUUAGUAUAGAGGCUUCAUUACCUGUUUCCACUUGUAGAGUUAAAAGAAUUCGUAGCCUCUUAAUUAACGAUAGUAGAUCUGAUCAUUCAUUAUUAAAUGGUGAGAUCCUAGAAGAAUUAUUUAGGGAAUUGACAAGUUUAAGGGCAUUAGAUUUUUGCAAAUCGUAUAACGCAAGUUGGUCUUCGACUCUGGAGAUUCCGAGAAACAUAGAAAAGCUGGUACAUUUAAGAUACCUUAAUUUGUCUUAUCAGGGAAUAAAGAAACUACCGGAGACAUUAUGCGAGUUGUAUAAUCUAGAAAAGUUAGAUAUUAGUUAUUGUUAUAAGCUAGAAGAAUUACCUGAAGGGAUUGGGAAGUUAAUAAACAUGAAGCAUUUACGAAAUAGAGGUACUAGUUCUUUAAGGUACAUGCCAGUAGGGAUUGGGAGAUUAACGGGUCUUAGGACCUUGGGUGAGUUCCACGUGAGUGCAGGAGGAGGUGUUGAUGGUAGGAAAGCAUGUAGGCUUGAAUCUCUUAAAAACUUGGAACACCUUCAAGUAUGUGGUAUAUGUAGACUGGGUGAUGUAUCAGAUGUGGGCGAGGCUAAGCGAUUAGAACUUGACAAAAAGAAAUACCUCUUCAGUUUGACCCUCGAGUUUGAUAAGACGGAAAGAGGAGGAGAAAGGAGGAAGAACGAGGACGAUCAACUUCUUCUUGAAGCCUUGCGACCACCCCUGGAUUUAAAGGAAUUAGAGAUACGGUACUACCGAGGCAACACUGUUUUCCCCAGCUGGAUGGCGUCAUUAACCAACUUAAAGAGUUUACAUCUCCAUAGGUGCGAAAAUUGCGAGCAGCUGCCUCCUUUGGGAAAAUUGCCGUCCCUUGAAAAUCUCUACAUAUGGCGCAUGGAGAGUGUGAAGAGAGUGGGUGAUGAAUUUUUGGGGAUAGAAAGUGAUCAUCAUGACUCAUCGUCAUCUUCAUCAGUUACUAUUGCCUUCCCCAAAUUGAAAUCACUCACAAUUUAUUCGAUGCUGGAAUUGGAGGAGUGGGAUUAUGAGAUUACAAGAACAGGAAACACCGUCAUCAACAUCAUGCCACGUCUUUCUUCCUUGACAAUUGUUGAUUGCACCACAUUAAAGGCACUGCCCGACCACAUUCAUCAAACGACAACGUUGAAGGAAUUGAGCAUUUUUAUGUGUUGGCUUCUGAACAAACGUUACCGCAAGGGGAAAGGAGAAGACUGGCCUAAAAUAUCACACAUUCCCAACCUCCGUAUUGGGCUUUGACAAGUAAUUUCUUCUCUCACUCUGAUUUGCUUUGUUGUUGUUUUUAAUCUAAUUAAGAAGCGAAAAUAGCAUUUUGAAUCAAACUCUAUAUCAGAAAUCUGCAAUACUUACUUUCUAAUAUUCUGAUUUUCAUAUCCUAUGAAUAUACGAUUUUUAAUUUGUGAGAUGGGUAACGUUACUGUAAAAGAUUAUUAAUGCAAUAUGAGUAAUUCUUUUGCAGGACAAGUGACCUACAUUUAGUUUGGCUUUGGAGUUGAAUAAUAACCUUUCGUGGUCCCGACAACCAAAAAACAAAGCUUAAUUUGCCACAGAUUGAACGUAUUGCCAUUAUUGACAAUUUUCUGCACAAGCGUGACUGAACUUAGGUUGAUGUCAAAAGAGGUAAAUUAUUGGCAUGCCUGACUAUUUUGACCAUUACAUGAUUCAUAAGUUUACAUUAAUUUUGAUUUUGAGUUGAGUGAUUAGUUUUCUAGGUUUGCUUACUUUAACUGGGUGACCAAUUUCUUGUAACUAAAUGUAUGAUGUGAUGCAGGAAGCAGGGCAGGAUAUGAAAAGAGAAGCUUAUUAGAGGAAGGAUUGCCAGUAACAGAAUCCAAAGAAAAAGAAACCAUUUCGAGGCAGCUGUUGGCAGUUGGCAGUGAAUGGAGCCCCUUGAAAAAAUUCCCAGGCCGUUGCACUGCAAUUACGAUCAUCCUCGGCCUCAGGUAAUUUCUUCUCCUGCAUUUUUGUUAUUUGCUAUCAAGUGACUAUUUUAAGUAUGAUUGCAUUAAGCUUCUGCUGGGAAAUUUGAGGUUUUGAUGACUGCCCAUGCUAUUGUCAGAAGCUGCGGUUCUUUUCAUCAGCCUGAACCUGGACCUGCCGCUAUGGAUAACUCAGGUUUUUUUUUUUUUUUUAAUCAACUGCCAUCUUUUCCACUGUUUAGAAACUCUUAAGAUUAAACUUUAGUAAAGUUGUUUUAGUUAUCCAUGUAAUCAGGCUGAGGAUACUUAGCUGCCUAUUUAGGCAAAUGUCAGAAUUUAGUUUGUUCGCUGGGAACUGGUGUGGACUGGCAAAGGAUGAUGAGAUAGUUUUUUGAGUGAGUAAAUUUUGGGAGCUUGAGUGUAUUGGGAUUUGCAAUUACAAUCAUCGUCUGCCUCAGGUGAUUUCUUCUCCUGCUCUGUCAUUGUUUGUUCUCUAAUUCAAAAGCAUAAAAUAUUUCAAUCAAUUUUUAUGCCAGGAAUAUGCAAAAGUUUCUAAUAUUUUAUUUCCAUCUGUUACAAGAUCAAACUGAAGCAGAACUCAAACAAAAGUAUGCUACUUCUUGCGGAAAUCUUGCCUUUGUUCAGAUUAUGAAACCAUUUCCAUGCAGCAAAUUCAUCCAAAAGUUUGAAUAAGUUUCAUGGUUGGACACUGUUGGCUUCUUUUUCUUCUGGGGUGCAUUUAGGUGCUAUCAAGUGACAGCUGUAAGUAUGAUUGCACUAAGCUGCCGCUGGGAAAUUUGAGGUUUUGAUGGCUGCCCAUGUUAUUUUCAAGAAACUAUUGAUGUAAGAAGCUGUGGUUCUUUUCAUCAGCUUGAACCUGAAACUGUCGCUAUGGAUAACUCAGGUUUUUGUUAUCAACUAUAUCAUCUUUUUCACUAUUUUGAAACUCUUAAGAUUAAACUUUAGUAAAGUUGUUUCAGCUAUUCAAAUGAAAAACUCAUUGAUUUGAGACUUCCUUCAUUAUUGUUUCUAAUUACAAUGCUAACGAUCCAGAUAAAAUAAUAUUUAAUCGGCGAAGGUGUCCCUUGGAAGUACAUCCUUCUUUUUCUUUUAUUAUAUAAAUUCUUGCAAUGAGCUUAGUGAAGCUGUUGUGCUAAUCAUGCCACUGCAUAAUUUGGCCCCUAAUGUGGGUACUCUGUUACAUUGUUCUGCAAAUUCUCCAGAAGUUAAAAUCAAUAAAUUUUCUAUUAGCUCUAGUGCUUUGACCUAAAUGCCAUUCUAUAUUUUGAUUACAAUGUUUUAACCUUUAAAUUAACUACCCCUAGAUGUUGGAUUUUCUAGAACUUCAAAAUGAUUAAUGGAGAAAGAUCCCAUUAUCGUUAUUGCUAUAAGAAAUUGAUUUAUGCAUCCAAAGAUACAUUAUAUAUUUCUGUGUCUCUAUUUGUAGAUGACAUUUAAGCAUCCAUAAACCGUCAGACAGAGGAAGGGGGUUCAGUGCAAAGAUUCUGUUGACCUAGGGUUGACUGCAUAAUGUCACUUGUUCGCAAUCUAUUAUUUAUUUUAUAUUUUGAAGAAUUUAAUGGGUAAUCCUAAUUGUUUGUUUUGGCAGGUAUGUGUUGUUAUCUCCUUCUAUCUAACAGUCGUACCUAAAUAGCAUAGUUUCAUCUGUGUUACCAUGUGAUGUACAUAAUUUCACAUUUGCCUCAGAUUAAGCUUAAUUUCCCACAGAAUAGAGCUGUCGCGACUGGACUUAGGUUGAUGUCCAAAGAGGUAAAUUAUUGGCAUGCCUAGAUAAUUUGGCCAUUUCCUAAUUCAUAAGUCUACAUUAAUUUUGAUUUUGAGUUGACUGAUUUCUUUUCAAGGUCUGCUUCCUUAACGGAGUGACCAAUGUUUUUCAACUAAAUUUAUCAUAUGAUGCAGGAAGCAGGGCAGGAUAUGAAAUGAGAAGCUCAUUGGUGGAAGUAUUGCCAGUAACAGAACCCAAAGAAAAUGAAACUAUUUCAAGGCAGCAGUUGGCAGUUGCAAGUGAAUGGAGGCCCUGACAAAAUUCUCAAGCGGUUGCAAUGCAAUUACGAUCAUCCUCAGCCUCAGGUAAUUUCUUCUCCUGCUCUGUUUUUAUUUGUUAUCUAAUUAAAAAGCAUAAAGUAUCUUGAAUCACUUUCUGUAUCUGGAACAUAUGCAGCAGUUUCUAAAAUCUUCAUAUGAGUGUAAUGAUGGUAAUUUCUGUUUUUUGUCUGUCAUUGAAUGUUAGACAACUUUCAGUGAGACUCUUGAACCGAGACAUUUUUGACAAAUGAAGGACAAUUGCUGAAGAGUGGGAAUGGUGCUAGAUUGGGGAAUAAAGACAAAGGAGGUAAAUUAUUUGCAGUUUAUUCAGCAUUAUUUGCUUUGGACCAGCGCCUGAUUCACAAGUCUCCAUAAUUUGGCUUUUGACCAGUUGUUAAUAAAUUUUUUAUUCCAUUGGUGCUAAAUGUACACGUGAAGCAGGCAGAGCAGGACUGUGGAAAUGAGAAGGUUUUUAGUGAAAGCUUAAACUCAGGUAAUUCUAAAAAGUACAUGUUUUUGCUGAUUUAUCUAAAUCAGGAAAUUUUAUUUCCAUCUGUUACAAGAUAAAACAGAAACAGAACACAAAGAAAAAUAUUCUACUUCUUGUGGCAAUCUUGCCUUCAUUCAGACAAUGAAACCAUUUCCUUUCACCAAUUUCUUCCAAAAGUUUGAAUAAGUUUCAUGGUUGGACAUAGUUAGCUUCUUUUUCUUUUGGUGCAUUUAGGUCCUAUCAAGUGACAGCCAUAAGUAUGAUUGCAUUAUUGGGAAAUUUUAGGUUUUGAUGGCUCCCCACGUUAUUGCCAAGAAAGUCCUCAUGUCAAAAGCUGCGGUUCUUUUCAUCAGCCUGAACCCGAACCUGUCGUUAUGGAUAACUCAGGUUUUUGUCAUCAACUAUAUCAUCUUUUUUACUGUUUUGAAACUCUUAAGAUUAAACUUCAGUAAAGUUGUUUCAGUUAUCCAUGUAAUCAGGCCAAGGAUAUUUAGCAGCUUAUUUAGGCAACUGCCAGAAUUCAGUUUGUUUGCUCGAAACUUGUAUGGUGACAAGGAUACUGGCAAGGAUAGUGAGAUAGUUUUUUGUGUGAGUGAAAUUUGAAAGCUUGGGUGUUCUGGGAUUUGCAAUUGCAAUCAUCCUCUGAGUCAGGUGAUUUCUUCUCCUGCUCUGUCUUGAUUUUCUCUCUAAUUGAAAGCAUAAAGUAUUUCAAUCAAAUUCUGUACCAGGAGUACAUAAAAGUUACUAAUAUUUUAUUUCCAUCUGUUUGCAUUGAUAACUCGGCAUAUGUUCUAGUUAAAGAACAAACAGAAACAGAGUUCAGGAAAAAGUUUCUUCGGCCACCAUAUUUGAAAAUGAAACCAUUUCCAGGAAGCAGUUGGCAGCAAAUUCAUAUGGAGUGUAGACAAUGAUGAGCAAAAAGGUGAUUCGCAAUUUCUUUUUUUUUUAAGUGAAAUUAUUUGUUAGAUUGAAGCUGAUAUUGUAAGAAGGCCAUUGAGCUAACCUAUGUCGUCACUUGCCUAGAUUGCAGGGGGUCAAGACUCAAAAGAAGCACUGAAAUUUAAAAAGCAUGGAAUAGUUCUUUUGCCAUGUGUCAAUUAAUGCAAGUUUGAAUAAGUUUAUUGGCUGAACGAUGUUAGCUUCUUUUCCUUUCGUGCACUUUGGUAUGCUAUCAAGUGACAGCCGUAUGUAUGGCUUGCAUAUAGCUGCUGCUGGGAAAAUUGACGAUUUCAUGGCUGGCCGUGUUAUUGUCUUAAAUUAGUUGUGAUAAGCUGUUGCUUGGAGAUUCUGUUGCCAAGACUUUGCUCACAUCAGAAGCUGUGGAAUCUGAACCCUUCGUUAUGUAUCAUCUUUUUCAUUGUUUUAAAACUCUCAGGAUUAAACUUGAGCGAAUUUGUUCGGUUGUCUAUAUAAUCAUGUAUUGAGUAAACUCUCAGGAUACUGAGGGUGAGAGAAAUUAGAGGGUGUAUAGGGAUUUGGAUUUGUUAGGAAGUUAUCAUUUUUAUUUUUAUUUUUAUUUUUUUCCCAGAAAAUCUUCUGGUGGUGCUAUAUUUUCAAACGACAGUCCGAUUCAAAACUUGAUAUUCCAAUUAUAUUCAUAAGCUUCUACAGUUAUCUUCAAAAAGACAAAUGGAAGGCUUUGAACGGCUUGGGUCUGAGUAUUGUAGUUUGAUUUAUUUUGAUGAAAGUACCUUUUGACAUUGAGAUUCUUUCAUGAGUUAAACAUUCUUUUUAAAACCAACUUAUUAAAAAAAAAAAGUAACUAACAUAUAUUAUUUUGUUAGUGCUUUUUAAAUCAAAUAUAAAAAAGAGAACUGUAAUUCUUAGCAACCAAUUUUUCACUGAGUACACCUACAACAAACUAUUAAAAAAUAAAGUGAUAGAAAAUGCCUGAUUUUUCGUACUUUCUAAUUACUUUUGGUCCUAAAAUAUGGCAAUUUGUGUAAUAAUAAGCCCAUGUAUAUCUUUAUGCCAUUAGUUUGAUAAAUAGCUAUCAAGGAUAACUUAUUAAGCUAAAAAUAUUUGAAGGAUAAAUUGAUUUAUGCAUCCAAAGAUACAUUAUAUAUUUCUGUGUCUCUAUUUAUAGAUGACAUUUAAGCAUCCAUAAACCGUCAGACAGAGGAAGGGGGUUCAGUGCAAAGAUUCUGUUGACCUAGGGUUGACUGCAUAAUGUCACUUGUUCGCAAUCUAUUAUUUAUUUUAUAUUUUGAAGAAUUUAAUGGGUAAUCCUAAUUGUUUGUUUUGGCAGGUAUGUGUUGUUAUCUCCUUCUAUCUAACAGUCGUACCUAAAUAGCAUAGUUUCAUCUGUGUUACCAUGUGAUGUACAUAAUUUCACAUUUGCCUCAGAUUAAGCUUAAUUUCCCACAGAAUAGAGCUGUCGUGACUGGACUUAGGUUGAUGUCCAAAGAGGUAAAUUAUUGGCAUGCCUAGAUAAUUUGGCCAUUUCCUAAUUCAUAAGUCUACAUUAAUUUUGAUUUUGAGUUGACUGAUUUCUUUUCAAGGUCUGCUUCCUUAACGGAGUGACCAAUGUUUUUCAACUAAAUUUAUCAUAUGAUGCAGGAAGCAGGGCAGGAUAUGAAAUGAGAUCUCAUUGGUGGAAGUAUUGCCAGUAGCAGAACCCAAUGAAAAUGAAACUAUUUCAAGGCAGCAGUUGGCAGUUGCAAGUGAAUGGAGGCCCUUGACAAAAUUCUCAAGCGGUUGCAAUGAUGGUAAUUUCUUCUCCUGCUUUGUAUUUAUUUGUUAUCUAAUUAGGAAGCGUGAAGUAUCUUGAAUCAUUUUCUGUAUCUGGAAUAUAUGCAAGAGUUUCUAAAAUUUUGAUAUGAGUGUAAUGAUGGUAAUUUCUGUUUUCUGUCUGUCAUCAAAUGUUAGAAAACUUUCAUUGAGACCCUUGAACCGAGUCAUUUUUGACAAGUGAAGGACAAUUGCUGAAGAGUGGGAAUGGUGCUAGAUUGGGGAAUAAAGACAAAGGAGGUAAAUUAUUUGCAGUUUAUUCAGCAUUAUUUGCUUUGGACCACCGCCUGAUUCACAAGUCUCCAUAAUUUGGCUUUUGACCAGUUAAUAAAUUUUUAAUUCCAUUGGUGCUAAAUGUACACGUGAAGCAGGCAGAGCAGGACUGUGGAAAUGAGAAGGUUUUUAGUGAAAGCUUAAACUCAGGUAAUUCUAAAAAGUACAUGUUUUUGCUGAUUUAUCUAAAUCAGGAAAUUUUAUUUCCAUCUGUUACAAGAUAAAACAGAAACAGAACACAAAGAAAAAUAUUCUACUUCUUGUGGCAAUCUUGCCUUCAUUCAGACAAUGAAACCAUUUCCUUUCACCAAUUUCUUCCAAAAGUUUGAAUAAGUUUCAUGGUUGGACAUAGUUAGCUUCUUUUUCUUUUUGGUGCAUUUAGGUCCUAUCAAGUGACAGCCAUAAGUAUGAUUGCAUUAUUGGGAAAUUUUAGGUUUGGAUGGCUCCCCAUGUUAUUGCCAAGAAAGUCCUCAUGUCAGAAGCUGCGGUUCUUUUCAUCAGCCUGAACCCGAACCUGUCGUUAUGGAUAACUCAGGUUUUUGUCAUCAACUAUAUCAUCUUUUUUACUGUUUUGAAACUCUUAAGAUUAAACUUCAGUAAAGUUGUUUCAGUUAUCCAUGUAAUCAGGCUAAGGAUAUUUAGCAGCUUAUUUAGGCAACUGCCAGAAUUCAGUUUGUUUGCUCGAAACUUGUAUGGUGACAAGGAUACUGGCAAGGAUAGUGAGAUAGUUUUUUGUGUGAGUGAAAUUUGAAAGCUUGGGUGUUCUGGGAUUUGCAAUUGCAAUCAUCCUCUGAGUCAGGUGAUUUCUUCUCCUGCUCUGUCUUGAUUUUCUCUCUAAUUGAAAGCAUAAAGUAUUUCAAUCAAAUUCUGUACCAGGAAUACGUAAAAGUUACUAAUAUUUUAUUUCCAUCUGUUUGCAUUGAUAACUCGGCGGCAUAUGUUCUAGUUAAAGAACAAACAGAAACAGAGUUCAGGAAAAAGUUUCUUCGGCCACCAUAUUUGAAAAUGAAACCAUUUCCAGGAAGCAGUUGGCAGCAAAUUCAUAUGGAGUGUAGACAAUGAUGAGCGAAAAGGUGAUACGCAAUUUCUUUUUUUUUUUUUUUAAGUGAAAUUAUUUGUUAGAUUGAAGCUGAUAUUGUAAGAAGGCCAUUGAGCUAACCUAUGUCGCCACUUGCCUAGAUUGCAGGGGGUCAAGACUCAAAAGAAGCACUGAAAUUUAAAAAAGCAUGCAAUAGUUCUUUUGCCAUGUGUCAAUUAAUGCAAGUUUGAAUAAGUUUAUUGGCUGAACGAUGUUAGCUUCUUUUCCUUUCGUGCACUUUGGUAUGCUAUCAAGUGACAGCCGUAUGUAUGGCUUGCGUAUAGCUGCUGCUGGGAAAAUUGACGAUUUCAUGGCUGGCCGUGUUAUUGUCUUAAAUUAGUUGUGAUAAGCUGUUGCUUGGAGAUUCUGUUGCCAAGACUUUGCUCACAUCAGAAGCUGUGGAAUCUGAACCCUUCGUUAUGUAUCAUCUUUUUCAUUGUUUUAAAACUCUCAGGAUUAAACUUGAGCGAAUUUGUUCGGUUGUCUAUAUAAUCAUGUAUUGAGUAACCUCUCAGGAUACUGAGCAGGCAAAUGUUAUAACUCGGUUUGUUAGCCAAAAACUUGUUGAAGAUUCUUGACAAAGCUGCAUCAAGUGAAUUGUCGGAGCUCUGAGGGUGAGAGAAAUUAGAGGGUGUAUAGGGAUUUGGAUUUGUUAGGAAGUUAUCAUUUUUAUUUUUAUUUUUAUUUUUUUCACAGAAAAUCUUCUGGUGGUGCUAUAUUUUCAAACGACAGUCCGAUUCAAAACUUGAUAUUCCAAUUAUAUUCAUAAGCUUCUACAGUUAUCUUCAAAAAGACAAAUGGAAGGCUUUGAACGGCUUGGGUCUGAGUAUUGUAGUUUGAUUUAUUUUGAUGAAAGUACCUUUUGACAUUGAGAUUCUUUCAUGAGUUAAACAUUCUUUUUAAAACCAACUUAUUAAAAAAAAAAAGUAACUAACAUAUAUUAUUUUGUUAGUGCUUUUUAAAUCAAAUAUAAAAAAGAGAACUGUAAUUCUUAGCAACCAAUUUUUCACUGAGUACACCUACAACAAACUAUUAAAAAAUAAAGUGAUAGAAAAUGCCUGAUUUUUCGUACUUUCUAAUUACUUUUGGUCCUAAAAUAUGGCGAUUUGUGUAAUAAUAAGCCCAUGUAUAUCUUUAUGCCAUUAGUUUGAUAAAUAGCUAUCAAGGAUAACUUAUUAAGCUAAAAAUAUUUGAAGGAUAAAAUGGUAAAACUAAAAGGGUGGAGUAAUAUAGUUAUUUAAGAUUACAUAGUAAGUCAACUAUAUUCGAGGGAUAAAAUAUUAAAACUUGAAUAGUGAUAUUAAAAAUAUCUCAGCUAUUAUACUAUUAAACCAUAUGCCGUAAUAAUAUUUUUUUUCAAACUUUAAAAAAUUCAGGAUUUUAAAUUAAAACAUGGAUUUCUUUAAGAUGCUAUAUGUGUUUUUACAGUAUUGAUAGUGGGAUUAGUGUGGACCUUUAGAUGAAAGAGUUUUAAUCUGAAUCAUUCAUUUAAUAUAAUAGAUAAUUAAAUAAUUAAUUAAAAUAUAUCAGGUAACUUAUAGGUUGCAGGUAAAAAAUUAAUUUUUUAAUUUUAAAUUAAAAUUAAUUUGGAACAAAACCAUCCACACCCCUAAGGUUUACUUAAAUGAUCAUAUAAAUCCCUUUAGUUUCUACAUAGUUAUACAAACCCUCUUAAUUUCAUAAAUUAUUAUUAUACUUUUAAUUAAAACAACCUAAAUGAAUAUAAAUAUAGUAAUAGGAUAGAAAUAAUAAAUAAAUAUCAGAUGAAACAAAUAAAAUAUUACAAUAAAUACAAUUAAUUAAAUAACAUGUAGGAUGAAAAUUUUAUUCAUAUUAAGUUAUUAUUAGUCGAUCUCGAUGGAUUUACUCAAAUUAAUUAAUCCAAAAUUUAAUUUUAAGAUUGAUAUUAAUAUGGACAUAAUUAAAUAAGAUGUUGUAAUAUAUAUUACUUUGAAUGUUAAGUAUAAUUAUCUAAUAUUAUUAGUAUGUGAAAUAGAUUUUAAUAUUAUUAAAAGAAUAUGACAAUAUAUAAUUUUGACAUAAAUUUUUUAGUAUUCAUAAUAUUUUAUAAAUUUUAUCUUAUUUUAUAUAUUAUAUUUUUUAAUUUUAAUGUAUUAUAUAUGAUCAUUUAAGCAAAUUUUGGAGGUGCGGUGGUCUUUUCCCUAUUAAUUUUGUAGCAUAUUUAAAGUGUUAUAUCAUACAUCAUACAUCGCACUUUUGUUAAAGUAUUAUGUUAUUAAAAAUUAAACUUUGCAUUUAUAAUAUACUACCAUUUUAAUGUAAAUGUAACAAAAAAUAUGAAGAUAUUUUUAAGUAGUCAAUUGUAGCUUUCUAUUACAAAAUAGCAGUAUAGAAAUACAAUUGGUAAAAUGUAAUAAAAAUGGUAUGGAAAAAAGUUAGUAGAGGCAAUUAUUUUUGUAGUUGCUAAAACAUAUGAAGUGACACACACACACACACACACACACAUCAAGUACUUGUAUGUUCCCCUAACUUUUAUUAAUAGGAAGGAAAUUAAAUUCGUAAUUUUCCCGGUGAAUUAUGAAUUGAUAAAUGAAAUAUAAAUAUUAGUAAAAAUUAAUUUGUCGACUAAAGAAGUAAACCAUAUUUUAUGGGCAUUUAAUACAUUACUUUAAGGUCAAAUGAGAUAUAUCACAUGAUAUUUGAUACAGUAGUCCAAUUUUCAACAUUUGCAUAUAGUUUCUAAGCUAGUAAUCUAAUAAAAUAUACCAAAUGAGAAAUUCAAGGCUAUUAUUUAUAUUUCACAAUUGGACAAACACCAUACAUUAGAAUAAAAAAAUCUCACAGUACAGACGACAUCUGUUUGCAUGUUUUGAAAAUAGAUUUUGAAAAUAGUUUAAUUACAUGAUAAUUAAAUUAUAUUAUAAAACUAAGAAUAUGAUUUAAGUACUAUUUUAGCAAUUUUGAGUCUCACAUUGAGUAUUCAAGUUAAUUAAAUGUUGAAACUCUUUUCUAUUUGGCUUGAAAUCACUACUUAAUUAAAUUACAAAAAGUCGAUAAUGAAUGAUGUAGGACACAUAUGUAAAAUAAAUUUUAAAGUGUAAUUAAACAUUCCUAUCAAUAUUAGUUUCGUAUACAUGUUCAUAUAUUUUAUUGAAACCAUAUAUAAUUAAAUUUUGUGUAAUUAAGUAAAAUAUAUUAUUCAAGUGAAUUUAUGAGAAUAUUUAAAAUUAUAGGGGUGGUCACUGAAAUUUGCCAAACUUGAGCCAACCGUGCAUGAUCCAAACAAUUUAUUUUAAUAAUUCUCAAUAUGUUAGUCUGUUUGACUGUUGGCAAAAUAAAUUCCUAUCAGCAAUGCAACACAAUUCAAAAUCAUAUCUGCAUACAACGAACAAUAUCUCAUCAAAGAUCAAAUUAUACAUUUUUUACACCAAAGCAUAAAUAUCUAAAUUAUCCCUCUUCAACUCACCAAGCUCAUACCUAACAACAGCAAGAUUAAAUGUCAUUUGAUCCAUCUUUUUUAGUAAGCUUUAUCAAUUCUUCUCAUGGUUGCAAUUUUGAAAGCUCGCUUCGCUAUUUCCAUUUGCUUUUAUGCUUUGUUUGAGCUCCAUCUUUUCUCUCCAUCUACAUUUUACACUGUAAAAAAAAUUUUAAAAAAAUUACAAAGCUUCUUAUACUAGAAUAUGAGCAACAAUAUAAAUAAUAAACAAUAAAGUUAUGAUAGCACAACAUACUCAUUAAAGUGCUUCUUUUUUUUUUUCAACAAGAAAUUACUACUGAAUUAAAGAAUUGGCUUUGCAUUAAGGUUUGCCUUCAAUAACUCAACUCCCCACUUGGGUUUUGUCGUUUUCUUAAAAUCUCUGCUCAAUCAAUUUAAAGAUCCAUUUUUUUUUUCUUUCCAAAGAUCUAAAAGCAAUGUCUUUUAUUGGUACCCAACAAAAAUGCAAGGUCUGUGAGAAGACAGUUUGUCCAGUUGAGCAGUUAUCUGCUGAUGGGGUUGUUUAUCACAAGUCUUGCUUCAAGUGCUAUCACGGCAAAGGCACACUCAAGCUAAGCAAUUACUCAUCCCUGGAAGGUGUUCUUUACUGUAAGCCUCACUUUGAGCAGCUUUUGAAGGAGUCGAGUAACUUCAACCAGAAUUUCCAAUUACCUGCAAAGUCAGCUGAGAAGUUAACUCCUGAGCUGAGAAGGUCGCCUAGCAAAGUUGCCAGCAUGUUCUCUGGGCCCAAUAAAAAUGUGCUUCUUGCAGUAAAACAGUGUGUCCGUGGGAGAAGGUAGCAGUGGAAAACCAAGCCUCUCACAAGACAUGUUUCAAGUGCUCACAUGGUGGUUAUUCCAUUAGCCCGUCAAAUUACGCAGCCCUAGAAGGCAUCUUGUAUUGCAAACAUAAUUUCUCCCAAUUGUUCAAGGAAAAAGGCAGCUACAACCACCUUAUAUCAAAUCUGCUCCCAUGAAGCGUGCUGCAGUCUCUGUUCAAGAAGCUUGAACACGUUAUGUUAUCUUCCAUAAAUCUUAUUUGGCGUGGGUUUUCUCUGGCUUGAGGGUGUGCUUUCUAUUUUGAUCCCUCUUGUUGUUUUUGCGGGGAACUACCAAACCUUCGGUUCCCUCUGCUUCUUUGGAUCAUCUUUGUUUGGACAAAUUUCAUGUAAUUAGAGAUACCGAUUUAUGGGAGGCAUAAUCCCAUGGUCGUAAAUUGACCAUUUUCUGGCAAUGUUCUUUUUAAAAAGAGAUGAGCAGUUGUUUAAAAAAAAAAAAAAUUGCUUGCCUUCAUCAUUGUAUAUUACCAAACUGCUAUGUAUAGCUGCUAACUAUGAGCAUCCGAAAAUAUGGUGCAUCGUGAUUCAUGUAGUGCAAUAUGGCUACCAACGCAUCCUAAAUGGAGUAUUACUCAGUUAGUCAGCAAAAUAAGACAACAUAACUGAUAUUAAAAAAAAAAAAAAACUACAUUAAUAAGUGGGCAAGAUCAUGCCAGUUUAACUUUUCGCGCGUCGCUGCUGGAGAUGAUCAAAUCGGGGCAUAGAAAAGGAGAAUGGAAUCAGAGGCUAAGAUUAAUAAGUGGGCUUCUGCUUGCUUUGCCCUCUUUCUUAAACGAUUGGUAGACUGCUGCUUCCGCCGAUUAACCGGGUCUUCAACCACUGCUUUUACUGCCUGCCAUCUUGUUGUUUGUCGAAGGGAUGAAUUCGAGUCGAAAAGAGAAAGCGCGCUGAAAAAGAUAAAUCACUAGUGGUUAACUGCUGACUCAGCCAAGUGUUGGCUUCACUUGAUUCACCGAUUGAGGUUAUUUUGUCUUCUAUCUAAUGCAGCGAAGAAGCUUUGCUGCUUAACAUGCUGCAAUGCAACUUUAUCCUUUGAAGUUCACACUCCAGGGCUGCGCACUUUAUGUAAUCCUAUGAGUAAAAAGAAUUUGUUUUCAAAUGUGAAAAAAGAAAAUGUAAGGUAGUAACUAAAUAUAUUAUAGCAUCAAAGCAAGAUUUGAUAUGAAUUUAGUACAACAAAGAACAUCAAAUCUGUGAUUCCUUGUCUAAUGUCACCAUCGAGCAACAAAUUUAAAAGCCUACCUAUCAAAUACACGAGGCAAUAAACGGAGAAAAAGUUGAAUUACAAGAACAAGUUUACAAUUCUUGUCAAUGGUUAAUGAUUUGUGAACUGAGAUAUCAUUCAAGAAUCCAAUUUCAAUACAACAACCUAAAAGAUAAACAGAUGAUGAAUUUUAUGAGAUAAAAAAGGAGAUCGUGUUUUAUCGUAUCUCUAUUUUCUUUCUUUUUAAAUUUAUGAGAUAAAGCGGUUGGUCCAGUUACGGUGUUAUGCUAACGGGUUUAAAGGUUCCGAUCCAAUGAGUUAGGGUGGAAUAUGAAUAUAUAAAUUCCAUAGCAUGUAAGGACUAGGAUUUGUUUGUUCAUAUCAAGAAAAAAAAUCUGAAAAUUUGAUGAUCAGAAGAUAAAAACACUUAAACACGUUUAAGUAUCAAUAAAUACUUGCUGCUGUAGUUUGAAAAUAAAAUGAGUUUAUCUUGUUGCUGUUUGAUAAAAAUUUAUACUAUUUUUAUUAAUUUUGUCAAAAUCAAUAUUUAGACAUUAUAUUUACCAAGCAUUAUCAUUUUUUUAAUCUCAUAAUUAAUUAAAAUUUUCAUUUCAUUCAAUACAGUAAUUAAUUAGAAUUGUAGCAUAAGCCCAUUUUAAUUUUCUUUCUUUAGGCUAUAUACGCUACUUAUAAGAAAAACUUAUGGACCAUUGACCUAGGCUUAUACAAUAAGCCAAUUUAGAAAUUGUAGACUCACUCUAUGGAUUACUCAUGAGUUGUGGAUGAUGAGUUCUUCACUAACGAAGUGCAUUGGAUAUCAUAUAACGUAAAAACACACAUUGUCAUUAGUCUAUUGCAAGCAUUCCCAUUUGGCACCGAAUCUUUCUCAUUAGCCUAUUGCAAGCGAUCCCAGCCACUUGGAAUCAAAAUUUAGUGAAUUUACAUAUGUUGUCUCGAAGUGGUGUCUCUUAUGGUUGGGUGUUUUUAUAAAUUUCUUAAUUGCUUCGAAUACCAUGGCUGAUGCAACCGUUUCUACUAUCUUGGAGCAGCUGAUUUCCUUCGCUGCUGAAGAGAUAAAACAACAGGUGAUCGAAGUUGCACCCCUCAUAUUACAAAUGCUUCCAAUGAUUUUAAUUGGUUUUGUUUUUAUCAAAAACAUUAUAUAUUUUUUCUUUAUUUUAUUUAUCUGGUAAUUUUAGAUUUUGAAAUUUGAAUUGAAUUUAAUUAAAAGGUGAUGUAGUAACCACUUAUUUUUAUUUUUUUUUAUUUAUAUUCUCAAUAACUACUCAUAGUUUGGUAACUUACUAUAACUUCCAUAUCUAAGAAAUGAUCCAAACCCACAAUUUUAACUCAAGUUUGUCAAACAGUCAUUAAUUCAAUGUUUAGUAAAAAAAACACUUCUCAGCACAGAAUUCCAUGUCCAUUACUUAGACUCUAUGAAAAAUUUCAUAAUUUUCUUACAUUCUUUGAGUUUGGUAAGUGAUUUCAUAUAUUUUCUAUUCAAUAUAAAUUUUAAUUUGUUUUCUUAUAUACUCUCUUUGCUGAAUUUGUAUCUUUUAUGAUUCUUAGAUUUUGGGCUCUAACUUUUUAGGAUUUGAUAGUCACAUUUUAUGCCAUGCUUAGAUUGAUUUUCAUGAUUUUUACUACCCGUUAAGUGACUUAGAAUUUGACAAAAGUUUGAAAGGAAAUCUGCUUCAGGAUUCUGUUUUAAUUGACCCUUUAGUGGAAAUAAAAUGCUUAUAACUUAAUGUGGAUGCUAUGUAAAAUCAUGAAAUUUGGAUAGAAUUAACUAGAAAUAUGUACAAGACUCUCCAUGAAGUCUCAUAAUUUUUCAUUCGGUCUGGGGUGUUACAGGUGAAGCUUGUGGUUGGUGUCGAAAAAGAAGUGAAAAGCCUUACCAGCCACCUUCAAGCCAUUCAAGCUGUGCUCGAUGAUGCAGAGGAAAAGCAAGUGAAGGACAAAGCUGUUAGACAUUGGCUGGGUAGGCUCAAGUAUGCAUCCUACGACAUUGAAGAUGUGUUGGAUGAGUGGAUCACAGGAAGACGCAAAUUGCAAAUUGAGGGUGGCAUUGGUGAAAAUGCUCUUAUUGCUCCUCAUAAGAAAAAGAAGGUACGUUUCUGCUUUCGUGCCUCUUGUCUUGGAUUCAAAACAGAAGAAUUUGGCUUCAAACAAGUCUUUCUACGUCAUGACAUUGCCAACAAGAUCAAAGAAAUGAAUGAAGAGCUACAUGAUAUUGCUACUCAAAAAGACAUGUUUAAUCUUGUUAAGAGUGGCAAUAACAGUAGUGAAAGACCAAGGCGUGUACAGAGUACCUCCUUGAUUGAUGAGGAAGAGAUUUGUGGUAGAGUUGGUGAGAAGAAUGAACUCAUAAGCAAGCUGUUGUGUGAGAGUAGCGAGCAACAAAAAGGCCUCCAUAUCAUCUCAAUUGUUGGUAUGGGAGGCAUAGGGAAAACUACUCUUGCACAACUAGCUUGUAAUCAUGACGAGGUGAAGAGAAAGUUCGACAAAAUUCUGUGGGUGUGUGUAUCAGAAACUUUUGAGGAGUUUAGGGUUGCCAAAGCAAUCGUUGAAGCUUUGGAUGGUCGUGAAUCUCAUUUAGGUGAAUUCCAAUCUCUUCUUCAACAUAUUGAUGAAUCCAUUGCAGGGAAGACCUUUCUUCUUGUCUUAGAUGACGUGUGGGAUGGAAAUUACUUGAAAUGGGAACCAUUCUACCGUUGUCUAAAGAAUGGUCUCCAUGGAAGUAAAAUUAUAGUUACCACACGUAGUGGGUCCGUUGCAUCCAUGAUGGGAUCCAUAGAUAUUAUUCCCAUUAAGGAAUUAGCUGAAGAGGAAUGUUGGUUGUUGUUUAACAAGAUAGCAUUUUUUGGUAGGCCUAUUGAGGAACGUGAAAAAUUAGAACAAAUUGGGCAAAGAAUUGCAGGCAAGUGCAAAGGUUUACCUCUUGCAGCAAAGACAAUAGGGAGUCUCAUGCGUUCUAAACAAACUGAAGAAGAGUGGAAAAGAAUUUUAAAUAGUGAUUUAUGGAAAGUAGAAGAGAUUGAGAAAGAUGUUUUGUCCUCUUUAUUGUUGAGUUAUAAUGAUUUGCCAUCUAGAGUAAAAAGAUGUUUUUCAUAUUGUGCUGUCUUUCCAAAAGACUACAAUAUAAAAAAAGACGAACUAAUCACAUUAUGGAUGGCUCAAGGUUAUCUUAGUGCAGAAGCAGCAGAACAAGAUGAGGAGUUGGAGACUAUAGGUGAAGAGUAUUUUGGCAUCUUAGCUUCUCGCUCUUUCUUUCAAGAGUUUGAGAAAAGUUAUGAUAAUCGUAUUAUAGAGUGCAAGAUGCAUGAUAUGGUACAUGAUUUUGCCCGCUUUGUAAGUCAAAAUGAAUGUUUUUCGAUGGCAAUUAAUGGUAGUGAAGAACCAAACGCCACAAACGCUCUUGAUGAGAAGGUCCGUCAUUUAAUGUUAAUAUUUAGUAAAGCGGCUUCAUUACCUAUUUCCACUCUUAGAGUUAAAAGAAUGCGUACCCUCUUAAUUAACGAUCAUUCAUUAUUAAAUGCUGCGAUCCUAGAAGAAUUAUUUAGGGAAUUGACAAGUUUAAGGGCAUUAGAUUUUGGCGGAUCGUACCACUCAACGCGGUUGUUGACUCCGGAGGUUCCGAGAAACAUAGAAAAGCUGGUACUACCGGAGACAUUGUGUGAGUUAUAUAAUCUAGAAAAGUUAGAUAUUAGUGAUUGUUUUAAUCUUAAAGAAUUACCUGAAGGGAUUGGGAAGUUAAUAAACGUGAAGCAUUUACUAAAUAGAGGUACUAAUUCUUUAAGGUACAUGCCAGUAGGGAUUGGGAGAUUAACAGGUCUUAGGACCUUGGGUGAGUUCCACGUGAGUGCAGGAGGAGGUGUUGAUGGUAGGAAAGCAUGUAGGCUUGAAUCUCUUAAAAACUUGGAACACCUUCAAGUAUGUGGUAUAAGUAGACUGGGUGAUGUAUCAGAUGUGGGCGAGGCUAAGCGAUUAGAACUUGACAAAAAGAAAUACCUCUCCAGUUUGACCCUUUGGUUUGAUAAGGAGGAGGAAGAAGAAGGAGAAAGAAGGAAGAACGAGGACAAUCAACUUCUUCUUGAAGCCCUGCGACCACCUCUCAAUUUAAAGGAAUUAGAGAUUGAGUACUACCGAGGCAACACUGUUUUCCCCAGCUGGAUGACGUCAUUAACCAACUUGAAGAGUUUAGAUCUCUCUUCCUGCGAAAAUUGCGAGCAGCUGCCUCCUUUGGGAAAAUUGCAGUCCCUUGAAAAUCUCCACAUAUGGCGCAUGGAGAGUGUGAAGAGAGUGGGUGAUGAAUUUUUGGGGAUAGAAAGUGAUCAUCAUGGCUCAUCUUCAUCUUCAUCGGUUAUUAUUGCCUUCCCCAAAUUGAAAUCACUUUCAAUUGAGGUUCUGCGCGAAUUGGAGGAGUGGGAUUAUGGGAUUACAAGAACGGGAAACACCGUCAUCAACAUCAUGCCACGUCUUUCUUCAUUGACAAUUAAUUACUGCUCCAAAUUAAAGGCACUGCCCGACCACUUUCAUCAAACGACAACAUUGAAGGAAUUGCACAUUUGGAAGUGCAGGCUUCUGGAAGAACGUUAUUGCAAUGGGGAAGGAGAAGACUGGUCUAAGAUAUCACACAUUCCCAACCUCCAUAUUGGGCUUUGACAAGUAAUUUCUUCUCUUACUCUGAUUUGCUUUGUUGUUGUUUUUAAUCUAAUUAAGAAGCGUAAAUAGCAUUUUGAAUCAAACUCUAUAUCAGAAAUCUGCAAUACUUACUUUCUAAUAUUCUGAUUUUCAUAUCCUAUGAAUAUACGAUUUUUAAUUUGUGAGAUGGGUAACGUUACUGUAAAAGAUUAUUAAUGCAAUAUGAGUAAUUCUUUUGCAGGACAAGUGACCUACAUUUAGUUUGGCUUUGGAGUUGAAUAAUAACCUUUCGAGGUCCCGACAACCAAAAAACGAAGCUUAAUUUGCCACAGAUUGCACGUAUUGCCAUUAUUGACAAUUUUCUGCACAAGCGUGACUGAACUUAGGUUGAUGUCAAAAGAGGUAAAUUAUUGGCAUGCCUGACUAUUUUGACCAUUACAUGAUUCAUAAGUUUACAUUAAUUUUGAUUUUGAGUUGAGUGAUUAAUUUUCUAUGUUUGCUUACUUUAACUGGGUGACCAAUUUCUUGUAACUAAAUGUAUGAUGUGAUGCAGGAAGCAGGGCAGGAUAUGAAAAGAGAAGCUUAUUAGAGGAAGGAUUGCCAGUAACAGAAUCCAAAGAAAAAGAAACCAUUUCGAGGCAGCAGUUGGCAGUUGGCAGUGAAUGGAGCCCCUUGAAAAAGUUCCCAAGCCGUUGCACUGCAAUUACGAUCAUCCUCGGCCUCAGGUAAUUUCUUCUCCUGCAUUUUUGUUAUUUGCUAUCAAGUGACUAUUUUAAGUAUGAUUGCAUUAAGCUGCUACUGGGAAAUUUGAGGUUUUGAGGACUGCCCAUGCUAUUGUCAGAAGCUGCGGUUCUUUUCAUCAGCCUGAACCUGGACCUGCCGCUAUGGAUAACUCAGGUUUUUUUUUUUUUUAAUCAACUGCCAUCUUUUCCACUGUUUAGAAACUCUUAAGAUUAAACUUUAGUAAAGAUGUUUUAGUUAUCCAUGUAAUCAGGCUGAGGAUACUUAGCUGCCUAUUUAGGCAAAUGUCAGAAUUUAGUUUGUUCGCUGGGAACUGGUGUGGACUGGCAAAGGAUGAUGAGAUAGUUUUUUGAGUGAGUAAAUUUUGGGAGCUUGAGUGUAUUGGGAUUUGCAAUUACAAUCAUCCUCUGCCUCAGGUGAUUUCUUCUCCUGCUCUGUCAUUGUUUGUUCUCUAAUUCAAAAGCAUAAAAUAUUUCAAUCAAUUUUUAUACCAGGAAUAUGCAAAAGUUUCUAAUAUUUUAUUUCCAUCUGUUACAAGAUCAAACUGAAGCAGAACUCAAUCAAAAGUAUGCUGCUUCUUGCGGAAAUCUUGCCUUUGUUCAGAUUAUGAAACCAUUUCCAUGCAGCAAAUUCAUCCAAAAAUUUGAAUAAGUUUCACGGUUGGACACUGUUGGCUUCUUUUUCUUCCGGGGUGCAUUUAGGUGCUAUCAAGUGACAGCUGUAAGUAUGAUUGCACUAAGCUGCCGCUGGGAAAUUUGAGGUUUUGAUGGCUGCCCAUGUUAUUUUCAAUAAACUAUUGAUGUAAGAAGCUGUGGUUCUUUUCAUCAGCUUGAACCUGAAACUGUCGCUAUGGAUAACUCAGGUUUUUGUUAUCAACUAUAUCAUCUUUUUCACUAUUUUGAAACUCUUAAGAUUAAACUUUAGUAAAGUUGUUUCAGCUAUUCAAAUGAAAAACUCAUUGAUUUGAGACUUCCUUCAUUAUUGUUUCUAAUUACAAUGCUAACGAUCCAGAUAAAAUAAUAUUUAAUCAACGAAGGUGUUGAUUGAUUUGAGACUUCCUUCAUUAAUGUAGACUUCCUUCAUUAUUGUUUCUUUUUCUUUUAUUCUAUAAAAUCUUGCAAUGAGCUUAGUGAAGCUGUUGUGCUAAUCAUGCCACUGCAUAAUUUGGCCCCUAAUGUGAGUACUCUGUUACAUUGUUCUGCAAAUUCUCCAGAAGUUAAAAUCAAUAAAUUUUCUAUUAGCUCUAGUGCUUUGACCUAAAUGCUAUUCUAUAUUCUGAUUACAAUGUUUUAACCUUUAAAUUAACUACCCCUAGAUGUUGGAUUUUCUAGAACUUCAAAAUGAUUAAUGGAGAAAGAUCCCAUUAUCGUUAUUGCUAUAAGAAAUUGAUUUAUGCAUCCAAAGAUACAUUAUAUGUUUCUGUGUCUCUAUUUAUAGAUGACACCUAAGCAUCCCAUUAUCUAUUAUUUAUUUUAUAUUUUGAAGAAUUUAAUGGGUAAUCCUAAUUGUUUGUUUAGGCAGGUAUGUGUUGUUAUCUCCUUCUAUCUUACAGUCGUACCUAAAUAGCAUAGUUUCAUCUGUGUUACCAUGUGAUGUACAUAAUUUCACAUUUGCCUCAGAUUAAGCUUAAUUUCCCACAGAAUAGAGCUGCCGCGACUGGACUUAGGUUGAUGUCCAAAGAGGUAAAUUAUUGGCAUGCCUAGAUAAUUUGGCCAUUUCCUAAUUCAUAAGUCUACAUUAAUUUUGAUUUUGAGUUGACUGAUUUCUUUUCAAGGUCUGCUUCCUUAACAGAGUGACCAAUGUUUUUCAACUAAAUUUAUCAUAUGAUGCAGGAAGCAAGGCAGGAUAUGAAAUGAGAAGCUCAUUGGUGGAAGUAUUGCCAGUAAGAGAACCCAAAGAAAAUGAAUCUAUUUCAAGGCAGCAGUUGGCAGUUGCAAGUGAAUGGAGGCCCUUGACAAAAUUCUCAAGCGGUUGCAAUGCAAUUACGAUCAUCCUCAGCCUCAGGUAAUUUCUUCUCCUGCUCUGUUUUUAUUUGUUAUCUAAUUAAGAAGCAUAAAGUAUCUUGAAUCACUUUAUGUAUCUGGAAUAUAUGCAGCAGUUUCUAAAAUUUUGAUAUGAGUGUAAUGAUGGUAAUUUCUGUUUUUUGUCUGUCAUUGAAUGUUAGACAACUUUCAGUGAGACUCUUGAACCGAGACAUUUUGGACAAAUGAAGGACAAGUGCUGAAGAGUGGGAAUGGUGCUAGAUUGGGGAAUAAAGACAAAGGUGGUAAAUUAUUUGCAGUUUAUUCAGCAUUAUUUGCUUUCGACCAGCGCCUGAUUCACAAGUCUACAUAAUUUGGCUUUUGACCAGUUGUUAAUAAAUUUUUAAUUCCAUUGGUGCUAAAUGUACACGUGAAGCAGGCAGAGCAGGACUGUGGAAAUGAGAAGCUUUUUAGGGAAAGCUUAAACUCAGGUAAUUCUAAAAAUUAAUUCUGAUUGUUCCGAUUUAUCUAAAUCAGGAAAUUUUAUUUCCAUCUGUUACAAUAAAACAGAAACAGAACACAGAGAAAAAUAUUCUACUUCUUGUGGCAAUCUUGCCUUCAUUCAGACUAUGAAACCAUUUCCUUUCACCAAUUUCUUCCGAAAGUUUGAACACGUUUCAUGGUUGGACAUAGUUAGCUUCUUUUUCUUUUGGUGCAUUUAGGUGCUAUCAAGUGACAACCAUAAGUAUGAUUGCAUUAUUGGGAAAUUUUAGGUUUUGAUGGCUCCCCAUGUUAUUGCCAAGAAAUUUUAAGUCCUCAUGUCAGAAGCUGCGUUUCUUUUCAUCAGACUGAACCCGAACCUGUCACUAUGGAUAACUGAGGUUUUUGUCAUCAACUCUAUCAUGUUUUUCACUGUUUUGAAACUCUUAAGAUUAAACUUCAGUAAAGUUGUUUCAGUUACCCAUGUAAUCAGGCUAAGGAUAUUUAGCAGCUUAUUUAGGCAACUGCCAGAAUUCAGUUUGUUCGCUCGAAACUUGUAUGGUGACAAGGAUACUGGCAAGGAUAGUGAGAUAGUUUUUUGUGUGAGUGAAAUUUGAAAGCUUGGGUGUUCUGGGAUUUGCAAUUGCAAUCAUCCUCUGCUUUAGGUGAUUUCUUCUCCUGUUCUGUCUUUAUUUUCUCUCUAAUUGAAAGCAUAAAGUAUUUCAAUCAAAUUCUGUACCAGGAAUACGAAAAAUUUACUAAUAUUUUAUUUCCAUCUGUUUGCAUUGAUAACUUGGCCGCAUAUGUACUAGUUAAAGAACAAACAGAAGCAGAGUUCAGGAAAAAGUUUCUUCGGCCACCAUAUUUGAAAAUGAAACCAUUUCCAGGAAGCAGUUGGCAGCAAAUUCAUACAAAGUAUAGACAAUGAUGAGCAAAAAGGUGAUUUGCAAUUUCAUUUUUUUAAAAUGAAAUUAUUUGUUAAGUUGGAGCUGAUAUUGUUAGAAGGCCACUGAGCUAACCUAUGACACUGCUUGCCUAGAUUGCAGGAGGUCAAGACUCAAAAGAUGCACUGAAUUUUAAAAGGCAUGCAAUAAUUCUUAUGGCCAUUUGUCAAUGGUGGAAGGCUUUUAGCUUCUUUUCCUUUCGUGCAUUUUGGGGUUCUAUCAAGCGACAGCCGUAUGUAUGGAUGGAUAUAGCUGAAGGACAACAUUUGUCCAUGAGGUUCCUAAAAUCGCAACUUUUGUGCAGUAAAAUUAAAACGGACGGCGGAAGCUCUAGAAACCUCGGAUCGGCUUCAUUCAAAAACUAAAAUCAAGAGGAAAGAUUGAAGUUUAAUUACCUCACUUGCAGUUUCGAAAAAGACUUCUUGAGGUAGGAGAAAACGACUGAAAACAGCAAGCUACGAACACUGUCCAGAAAAUACAGCUCUGCACGAACAGCUUCUGUUUUGCCACGAUCUGAGAUCCUUAAGCACCCCAAUUGUGAUGCCUCUAAUUAUUCCACACUUAUAAAUGUUCUAGGAGUUCAGAGGAUUUUGAAUCACGAAAUUUCGUUUAGAAAUGAGAGAGAUAAUGAUGAAACAUGAAUGCUAGUUCAUGAUGAUUCCCCUUCCACCAAAUAAAGCACCAUUAUGUCUAAUAAUGGCACCAAACAUUAUCAUGUGCUAGACCCAUCCACUUAGCUAUAAUUUAUUGAAAGUGAUCUUAUCACUUAAAUAAAUUAUUUAAUCAAAUUAAUAAAUAGCUAAAUUAAUUAAUUUCGUAAUUAAUUAAUUAACCCCAUUUUGAUCAAAUCAAAUGGUUAAAUGUGGGCUCAUUUUGUGACAUGUUCUAAUGCUUUCUCUUAAUCCAUAUUAGAUCCAAUAAAAGCCCAAAAUUCUAAACCCAAAAAUGGUCUAGAAGUCCAUAAUCAUAUAUGAACCCGAACAUGUCCAAAAUGGUCAUUUUACGUGCUCGAUAUUACAUAAUGUUUAAUGGAGGAUUUACGAAAUUUAUUUUGUUCCUUAAACUAUUUAUGGAACAUCUAAAUUUCUAUCUUAAAUCAUAUUUAAGAUAUAUUUAUAUAUAUAUGUAUAUUCAUUCUCAAUGAAUUAUAAUAUAAAUAUUGAUUUUCCUAAAAAUAGGAAAUUUAACUUCUCAUUUUCUAGUAACUCCUUUUUCAUUUCUAUUUAAUGUGUGACCUUUUAGGUUCUUAGUUAUAAGGUAGUAGAACUAUUUUAAUGAUAACUCUUUAUUCAUUAAAUGAUGCUAAACUCUUUAGUCAUCAAUUAGAACUCUUCUAAUGACCUUAAGAUGCAUUGAUAAUACGCUUUACCAAUAUUGAUCUUAAGGUUUCUACAAGUCAUGAGUGACACCUAGCAGUAUAUCACAACUAUCCAAAUAACAAGAAUUGUUGGAUCUAUAGAACCUAUUCCAUUGUACCUCUAUGUCUUGGUCUCUUCAUCAUCCAUGUCCAAAGAAAAGCACGGCUUAUGGUUUAUUAUGUUAAGCACUUAUGCUUUAUCUCAAAACAAAUCUAAAUGAACUUGACAUGAAAAUAUAAUUUGAACUCCUUCAAAUAUAUUUCACCUUGGCCAAGGAUUUCUCAUGCCAAUUCAUAUUAUCUCAUAGGGACAUCCUUUUUGUAUAUUACAAAGUGAUGAAUUCCAUAUUGGCCAUGCACUAGUCUUCAUACAUAUCCAACCAUGACAGUUAUUGCUAGAUCUCUUCCGUGAUUAGGAAUCAAUCAUUAUGCAUUCACAUAUCAGAGAUGUCUAUGUAUAAGACAUCUGUUAUGCCUCAGGUCUAAAAACCAUUACUAAACAUAGUGUUUAAUACAAUGUAUAAUAAGCCAUUAACACUCAAGACCAUAUAGCUUACUAUAUUUGGUCAAGUUUAGUAAACUUGUUCUCUCAACAAGUAUCUAUGUGUUUGACUUGACAUCUCAUGUCAAUGAUAUGAAACUCACCAUCUAUUUUAGUAUCACAUACCAUAAGGAGUCAUAACACAUACUAGUGUUUAUAGAAAUUUAUAAUGUCCAAUCAUAAAUCCACCACUAGGAACUAUUUUAGAAGUAUAGUACAAAGGAUACACGUUUCAUAUUCUCGACAAACUCGAGAAUGUGUUCCUUAACUAUUUUACAUCUUGGACUAUAUUCAUUAAAUUAAUUAAUGAAUAUUGAUAACUUUGCCAUUUUAUAAAUAUCAAAAUGCUAUUCAAAUACGAUAAUUCCCUAAACAAACAAACACCAUUUGAUUGGCCUUUAGGGCAUAUUACUAACAAUCUCCCACUUGCACUAAAGCCAAUCGCUAUGGUAUCUCAUACCCAUCUUCUCAAGAUGACGAUCUAACUCUUGUUGAGUAAGUGCUUUAGUCAGAGGAUCCGCAGUGUUAUCAGCGGAGGCUACUUUCUGCAUAGUGAUAUCACUCCUUCCAAUGAUUUCUUUGAUAAUGUGAUAUCUUUUUUCUAUGUGUUUGGACUUCUAGUGAGACCUUGGUUCCUUAGCUUGUGCUAUAGCUCCAUUGUUGUCACAAUAUAAAGAGAUUGACAACGCAAUGGUUGGAACCACUUCAAGUUGUUGAAUAAACUUCCGUGUCCAAACAGCUUCUUUUGCUGCAUCUGAUGCAACUAUAUAUUUCGCUUCAGUGGUAGAAUCUGCAGUAAUUGUUUGCUUAGAACUUUUCCAGCUUACUGCUCCACCAUUGAUAGUGAAUAAAAUCCUGAUGUAGAUUUUCUAUCAUCUACAUCUGACUGGAAAUCUGAAUAUGUGAAGCCUUCAAUUUUUAGCUUACUUUCUCCAUAUGUUAAGAACAAAUCUUUAGUUCUUCUGAAGUACUUAAAGAUAUUCUUAACUGCGGUCCAAUAUUCCUCACCCGGAUUACUCUGGUAUCUGCUAGUGACACUCACUGCAUUGAGCUAUAUCCGGUCUAGUACAUAGCAUAGCAUACAUAAGACUUCCAAUUGCAGAAGCAUAUGGAAUCUUAUUCAUUCGCUCUAUCUCAUCAUAAGUUUUAGGACUCAUGCUUUUAGAGAGAUGAAUUCCAUGUCUGAAGGGUAUAAAACCCCUUUUGGAAUCCCACAUAUUAAAUUUCUUUAAUAUCUUUUCUAUGUACUUAGCUUGACAUAGACCUAUUAAUUUUCUGGAUCUAUCUCUAUAAAUCCUGAUUCCCAAGAUAUACAUUGCAUCUCCUAGGUCUUUCAUGGAGAAGUUUUGAGAAAGCCAAAUUUUGACAGAAGACAUUUGUCCAAUGUCAUUUCCUAUAAGUAAUAUGUCAUCUACAUAUAGCACAAGGAAAGAUAUUGCACUCCCACUAACCCUUUUGUAAACACAUGGUUCAUCCUCAUUCUUGAUGAAACCAAAUGAUUUGAUUGCAUCAUCAAAUCGGAUGUUCCAGCUCCUGGAGGCUUGUUUUAGCCCAUAAAUGGACUUUCUUAGCUUGCAUACUUUAUGAGGAUUUGUCUUAGAUUCAAAACCACAAGGUUGUAUCAUAUAGAUAUCUUCCUCAAUGUACCCAUUAAGAAAUGCAGUUUUGACAUCCAUUUGCCAAAUCUCAUAGUCAUAAUAUGCUGCUAUAGCCAAUAAGAUUCUGAUGGACUUUAGCAUGGCUACUGUUGAAAAGGUUUCCUCAUAGUCGAUACUUUGUAUUUGACGAUAACCUUUAGCUACCAACCUUGCUUUAUAGGUCUCUACCUUUCCAUCUAAGCCGAUCUUCCUCUUGAAGAUCCACUUGCAUCCAAUAGGUAUAAUACCUUCGGGUGGAUCCACUAGAGUCCAGACUUGAUUGGUUCUCAUAGAGUCCAUCUCUAAAUCCAUGGCUUCAAGCCAUUUCUUAGAGUCAAUAUCUGAUAUUGCCUCUUCGUAACUAGUAGGAUCAUCUCUAUGAUUUGUAUCACCCAAUAAAAAAUAUAUCGUUCAUCUGAUGAAGAAAACCAUAUCUUUCUGGUGGGUGAAUUAUUCUAUUAGAUCUACGGAGCUGCUGUGUUCCUUGUGUUUGUACUUGAACAAGUUCUUCAUUGGAUUUAUCCUCAUUAGAAUUCUCAAUAAAUUCUAUUUUUCUUCCUUGUCCACCUUCUUGAAUAAACUCUUUUUCAAGAAAUAUGACAUUUCUACUGACCAAUACCCUUUGAUCAGAUUGGAUGUAAAAGUAAUAACCCAAAGUUUCCUUUGGGUAUCCAAUGAACCUCCCACUAUCCGCUUUAGCUUCAAGUUUCUCACUCUUGAGUCUCUUGAUAAAAGCAGGACAUCCCCAAAUCCUAAGAUGAUUUAGGCUUGGUUGUUUACCAUACCACAUCUCAUACGGUAUUUUAGGUACAGACUUGGAAGGUACUCUGUUUAGUACAUAUGUUGCAGUAAGGAGAGCAUAUCCCAAAGAGAAAUUGGUAAGUCUAUAUAACUCACCAUUUAUCGCACCAUGUCUAACAGUGUGCGAUUUCUCCUCUCAGAUACUCCAUUAAGCUCUGGUGUACCUGGAGGUGUCCAUUGUGAAACAAUACCAUUUUCUUUAAGGUAAGACUGGAAUUCUCCACUGAGAUAUUCACCACCUCGAUCUGAUCGUAGGGUUUUAAUAACUUUUCCAGUCUGUUUCUCUACUUCAUUUCGGUAUUCUUUGAACUUUUCAAAGGCUUCAGAUUUAUAUUUCAUUAAGUAUACUGAACUAUACCUUGAGUGAUCGUCGAUAAAAGUUAUGAAGUAGUAAUAUCCACCCCUUGCCAUUUCAUUAAAUGGUCCACAUACAUCAGUAUGUAUAAGUUCAAGUAAAUCAGUGGCCCUUGUACUUCGUCCAACGAAGGGUGCCCUGGUCAUUUUUCCUUGAAGGCAUGAUUCACAAGUUGGAUAAGGUUCUAAACCAAAUGGACCUAUUAGUCCAUCUUUAGCCAAUUUUGUGACUCUAUCUUCUCCAAUAUGACCUAGCCUUAAAUGCCACUUAUAUUUGGGGCUUAUUUCUUCUCUUUCACGUUUAUGUGUUAUGGUAUUUACAUUCACAACAUGCUCAUUAUUUUCUUUCAUGUUUAGUACAUAUAGAUCAUUAUCUAAAGUACCAUGUGCAACAUAUUUAUUCUCAUGAUAAAUAUUACAAAUUUUAUUUCUGAAAUAAAAUUCAUAAUUGUCUUUGCAUAAACAUGAAAUUGAAACUAUGUUCCUUACAGCAGAAGGAACAAAUAAACAAUCAUUCAAACUUAUUACAUGCCCAGAUGUCAUUUUUAAGAAAAAUGUCCCUAUAGCUGAGGCAGCAACUAUUGCUCCAUUUCCCACUCUAAGAGACACUUCUCCUUGUUUAAGUCUUCUACUUCUUUUCAGAUCCUGCAUUGACAUACAAAUAUGUGCGGUCGCAGCAGAAUCUAAAAUCCAAGAAGUAGAAUGAAUGAUUGAAAUAUUAGUUUCAAUAAUGAGCAUACCUUCAGAAGGAUUCUCUUUAGGCUUGACUUUCAAGCUGUUGAGGUAAGAUUUGCAAUUCCUCUUCCAAUGCCCAUUCUUACCGCAAUGGAAACAUUUUCCCUUGUCAUUGGGCUUAUUAGCUUUCCCCUUCUUAAUCCCACCUUUAGCCUUGGGUUGAAACUUUUUCUUUUUACCCUUUUUAGUUGAGGGCCCUUCUAUAGCCAUAACAUCUUUUGGCUUCUUUAUGCAAGUUUCAGCAGUAUUAAGCAUCUUUAGCAGUUCAGCAAGACUGCACUCCAUUUUAUUCAUGUUAAAAUUCAUGAUAAAUUGAGAGCAUGAGUCUGGCAAGGACUGUAGGAUAAGGUCGAUAGCUAAUUCCCCAUCCAUUGAGAAAUUAAGAGCUUCCAGCUGCUCUAUGUAGUCAAUCAUUUUGAGUACAUGAUCAUUGACCGAUCCUUCAGUCAUUCUCAUUCUGAACAGUUUCUUAGAUAUCUCAUACCUAACUGUUCUGCUUUGUUCACCAUACAACUCUUGUAAAUGAAGUAUCAUGGAACUUGCAUCAGGCAUAUUUUCAUGUUGCCUUUGUAGUUCAUUGGACAUCGAUGCCAAUAUAUAGCUUUUAGCACUUAGGUCAUCAUCUUGCCACUUCUGAUAAGUGACACGAUCUGCCUCACUUGCUCCCUCAGGAAUUUCAUUUAGAUUAGAUGUAUCAAGAACAUAGCUAAUUCUCUCAUAAUUAAGAACAAUUCUUAAAUUUCUGAACAAAUCAACGUAAUUAGGUCCCGUCAAACGGUAGUUUUCCAGAAUUCGUGCUAACAGAUUAUUCAUUAUUAAGUAUUUCUGCAGAAAGUAUAAAUUAAAUUAUUAGCAUUUUAUUUUAUUAUAAUCUAUUUGAUUUUGGUCUUUAAACCAAAUAGUGCCUCCUGUUGAGUGUUAGAAAAUGCAUAUUUAUAAAGGAGAAAACCGUCAUUUUACAUUUCAAGUCUUAUUAACAACCCUUACUUUUAUGUAUUUAACAUUCUUGUGAUUUAAUUACAUGUGUUUAUUUUAAUUAAGUAAUUUAUGUAUUUUAGGGGCAUUAUAGUCAUUUCACAAUAAAAGAGAGAUCAGACGGCAAAACGGACAUCACUUUUGAACUCAGGACGGUCGAAAACCUUAGGAGGAGCAUAAAAGGAAAAAUGACACUAUUCACAUGUACGGUACUAUUCACGGGUACGGUAUUGUCUACGUUACUGUUCACGACAAUGUUCACAUAGACGGAUCAAUGACGUGGCAUUGAUUGAUGACGUGGCAUUGACUGAUGAGGUGUCACGAUCCUGUUGGACUAAAAUUCUUAUAUACUGUUGAUGGUGACGUGGCAGCAUAUUAGUGGACGAAAAAUCUCGCGUACGGUGCAUGCAUCACACAGGAUUAUUUUCAACCAAACCGCGUUACUGUUCAUCCGGGUCAAACCGUGUUACUGUUCAUCCGCGUGGUCAAACCGUGGACUCUUGACUGAUGACGUGGCGCAAUCUUGAGCGUCCAAACUGUUUUUAAUCCGAUGGCCAUGAUUUACUCCAUGUAUCUAUAAAAAGGGGGCCUCUCCCCCCUAAUUUGAUAUCUCUGAAUCCAUUUUUGGGAUCCAUUUUCUGUAAUUCCUUCUCCAUCUUGUAUUUUCUUCAUAUUUUAAUAAAUUUCCAUUUUGCCCCUAGUUCAAUUAUGAGUGGCUAAUUUUCUUUCAAGCUUGGGUUGAAGGUGAAGUCUCAACAUGUGUCAUGGGCUUUAUUUGGUAAAUUUAUUUUCUCUUCCCCUCUAGUUUUUGUGGAUGUUUUGACUUCUCGUCGACAAAUAAUACUAAUCUUGUCUAGUACCGCCUUGGUUUCACCGGCCUUCUAGUACAAGGUUAUUAUUAUUUGGCACGAUAAGCCCUUAGCACCAUAUUGAUUAGAGCGUGGUUCAUGAGGUGUGGAUUCCCCCUUCAUGAUUUAAUUGGCAUUAAUACGGAUUAUAUAGCCCAUGAUGCAUGUUGAUACGGAUCCAGAUACCCAAGUACGUCAAUUUAAUAGAUUUCAUUUUCAAGUUAUUCUUGCCAUUUCAAUUCCAAUUUUAGAAUUUAUUCUCGCCAUUUUAAUUUAAGUUUUAGCAUAUUCCAAAUCAUUUCAACCACAAAUCCCACCACCCAUUUCCAAAAUUAAUUCUACACAUAAUUAAAAUCCACCUCCUCGUGGGAUCGACACUCGUCACCAUUAGUCUAUACUACAAUAGAUUCGUGCGCUUGCGAGUACAUUAAAAUUUGCACAACACGUCCCACUAUUUUAUCAUUUCCUUACACUCCCAUAUGUAAGAAACGGAAACUCUCAUUGGUAAAAGUUUCUAGUAGGAAUCAGAUUCUCAUUAGCCUAAGUUUACCUCACCUAACAGUUCUUGGCUUACUUAUUAUAAUGAGUAGGUAACUCUUACCAAAUGCAUCUCAUGCAUGUACCGAUUAUCCUUCGGCCUCUAAAUCAUUAAUACCUCACCUGACAGUUCUUAGUAUAAAUGAUUUAGUUAAGUUUACCCUAAUACCCUUGCAUAUUUUCAUAACGUCUUACUAACUUCACCUAACAGUUCUUGGUAGCUUAAUGUAUGAAUUACGCAUCAUCGCAUGAUAUAUGGUUUAUUUUCAACAUUUUAAUGAAUGAGUAGCCCAUGUAUCUAUGACAACUAGCCCAAGCAUAAAAUAUUUUAAAUAUUCCAUUGGUAUUAGUAGGCCAUGAUGGAUAUUCUCAAUAUUCAUCAUUACAACUUAACAAUAAUUAUGUUUAUUUAAUUAGGGAGUAUUUGGUCAUUAUUAUGGUCUCACUUUUUAGCAUGUUAUUCCAUUUUCAAUAUUCAAAUAUGUCUAAGCACCCUAAUAUACAUCUCAUGCAUAUUAUAGACAAGCCAACUAAGGAUGAUCAUGGAAUUUUCUAAUAAAACCAAUUUGAGCCAAAAUUAGUUUUAAGGUCCACCUAGGUAUCAAGCAAACAAUAAUAAUUAUGAGACAUCCCAUGCCUCAAAUUAUCAAGCAAACAAUAAUGAUUAUGAGACAUCUUAUGCCUCAAAUUAUUACAAUUAUUAAUUUCUAUUUGAAUGGCCAAAAUAUCAUUGGAAGUGAUGCAACGAUCCACAAAGACUUCUUACUCCAACCUCCAAGGCAUCGCAACGUCCCUCCUUUGACAAUCAUCUUGUAGAAAUUACAUAUUUAGAAGAAUUGGAGUACAAAUUUAGGGGUAAUGGGAUACAAUCAGAUCUUAAUAGAAGGAGAGACAUGCAAGUCCCUAUUUAAAAAUAUAACAACCAUUUAAGCCUUUAGAAAUCGGCCAAAUCAACAAAUAAAUCAAUAGAUCAUUCAAUCACACAUAUAUUCAUUCAUCACAUGACAUAAAUAUAUCAUAAAAUAUCUAGGUCUUUCCAUGAUCGUCCUUCAUGCUAUUAUAAAUGGAAAUAACAUAAAUCAUGCUUCAAAAAUGCGAAAUUGAAUGAAGAUGGCUCUGAUACCACUUGAAGGACAACAUUUGUCCAUGAGGUUCCUAAAAUCGCAACUUUUGUGCAGUAAUAUUAAAACGGACGGCGGAAGCUCUAGAAACCUCGGAUCGGCUUCAUUCAAAAACGAAAAUCAAGAGGAAAGAUUGAAGUUUAAUUACCUCACUUGAAGUUUCGAAAAAGACUUCUUGAGGUAGGAGAAAACGACUGAAAACAGCAAGCUACGAACACUGUCCAGAAAAUACAGCUCUGCACGAACAGCUUCUGUUUUGCCACGAUCUGAGAUCCUUAAGCACCCCAAUUGUGAUGCCUCUAAUUAUUCCACACUUAGAAAUGUUCUAGGAGUUCAGAGGAUUUGGAAUCACGAAAUUUCGUUUAGAAAUGAGAGAGAUAAUGAUGAAACAUGAAUGCUAGUCCAUGAUGAUUCCCCUUCCACCAAAUAAAGCACCAUUAUGUCUAAUAAUGGCACCAAACAUUAUCAUGUGCUAGACCCACCCACUUAGCUAUAAUUUAUUGAAAGUGAUCUUAUCACUUAAAUAAAUUAUUUAAUCAAAUUAAUAAAUAGCUAAAUUAAUUAAUUUCGUAAUUAAUUAAUUAACCCCAUUUUGAUCAAAUCAAAUGGUUAAAUGUGGGCUCAUUUUGUGACAUGUUCUAAUGCUUUCUCUUAAUCCAUAUUAGAUCCAAUAAAAGCCCAAAAUUAUAAACCCAAAAAUGGUCUAGAAGUCCAUAAUCAUAUAUGAACCCGAACAUGUCCAAAAUGGUCAUUUUACGUGCUCGAUAUUACAUAAUGUUUAAUGGAGGAUUUACGAAAUUUAUUUUGUUCCUUAAACUAUUUAUGGAACAUCUAAAUUUCUAUCUUAAAUCAUAUUUAAGAUAUAUUUAUAUAUAUAUGUAUAUUCAUUCUCAAUGAAUUAUAAUAUAAAUAUUGAUUUUCCUAAAAAUAGGAAAUUUAACUUCUCAUUUUCUAGUAACUCCUUUUUCAUUUCUAUUUAAUGUGUGACCUUUUAGGUUCUUAGUUAUAAGGUAGUAGAACUAUUUUAAUGAUAACUCUUUAUUCAUUAAAUGAUGCUAAACUCUUUAGUCAUCAAUUAGAACUCUUCUAAUGACCUUAAGAUGCAUUGAUAAUACGCUUUACCAAUAUUGAUCUUAAGGUUUCUACAAGUCAUGAGUGACACCUAGCAGUAUAUCACAACCAUCCAAAUAACAAGAAUUGUUGGAUCUAUAGAACCUAUUCCAUUGUGUCUCUAUGUCUUGGUCUCUUCAUCAUCCAUGUCCAAAGAAAAGCACGGCUUAUGGUUUAUUAUGUUAAGCACUUAUGCUUUAUCUCAAAACAAAUCUAAAUGAACUUGACAUGAAAAUAUAAUUUGAACUCCUUCAAAUAUAUUUCACCUUGGCCAAGGAUUUCUCAUGCCAAUUCAUAUUAUCUUAUAGGGACAUCCUUUUUGUAUAUUACAAAGUGAUGAAUUCCAUAUUGGCCAUGCACUAGUCUUCAUACAUAUCCAACCAUGACAGUUAUUGCUAGAUCUCUUCCGUGAUUAGGAAUCAAUCAUUAUGCAUUCACAUAUCAGAGAUGUCUAUGUAUAAGACAUCUGUUAUGCCUCAGGUCUAAAGACCAUUACUAAACAUAGUGUCUAAUACAAUGUAUAAUAAGCCAUUAACACUCAAGACCAUAUGGCUUACUAUAUUUGGUCAAGUUCAGUAAACUUGUUCUCUCAACAAGUACCUAUGUGUUUGACUUGACAUCUCAUGUCAAUGAUAUGAAACUCACCAUCCAUUUUAGUAUCACAUACCAUAAGAAGUCAUAACACAUACUAGUGUUUAUAGGAAUUUAUAAUGUCCAAUCAUAAAUCCACCACUAGGAACUAUUUUAGAAGUAUAGUACAAAGGAUACACGUUUCAUAUUCUCGACAAACUCGAGAAUGUGUUCCUUAACUAUUUUACAUCUUGGACUAUAUUCAUUAAAUUAAUUAAUGAAUAUUGAUAACUUUGCCAUUUUAUAAAUAUCAAAAUGCUAUUCAAAUACGAUAAUUCCCUAAACAAACAAACACCAUUUGAUUGGCCUUUAGGGCAUAUUACUAACAAUAGCUGCUGCGUUGAUUUCUAAUGCGGUGGAGUAAUCGUCGUUAGAAUCUGAAUGAUAUGUCUAAGACGUUGCAUGCAUCAAGAAAAUUGCAGACGAUUAAACCUUGCCAUCUAUGCGUUGUAUGAGGUUAUAGCAACUAUCUAUCUGGUCACCGUUUUAAAAGAAUAAGACAAAGGGAAAAAGAGAAAGAAAAGAAUGAUUCGACAAUGGCAUUAAAGUUCAACAUACCCCAAGAUCUUGUAAUAAUGCCAUUAAUCAUUCUCUAGCUAGGCUAGCCUUAGAGAAAAGUGAAACUGUUGCACAGGUAGAAUCAAACCCCUCAGAGAUAUGAUGAGUUCGUGAUGCUUGCAUUUUAUUGAUGCUGAUGAUUCGUUGAAUGUUUUAUGUUUUUGAUUUUUAAGUAUUCCGGAUCGAAGUUUGUGUCUACGCGGAAAUUGUAAAGGCAGCAUAUAAAGUACUCGUCGUUCUUUAGAUUUUAUUGAGUACACUUUUGUCACAUUUAGCGUAUGCUAUACACUACUGAUUUGCGCAUUGACAUAUAUCUUAUUUUAUCAUUUUGAAUGAAUUACACGGCGAGGCUUAUCAACUUUGGAUGAAUCCUCCAAUUGUCACAGUCCAAGACUGGCUGCAGUGAGUGAAAAUUUACCCAUAUAUAUGCUGGCUAUUUUUAUUGGCGACGAAUUCGUUGUAGUUGGUCCAUCUUGCUAUUCUCGGACAAUAUUAGAGAAAAUAAUCAUAUUAUUUCGCGUGAUGUGACCUUCCAUAACUUAUCAAUUGAAUUACUGUAAAAUUAUUGUGUAAGUUUAGGCCCAAUGGCACUUUAGUUCAUCACAUGAUAGCCUGGAUUUAAAAGGAAAACUAUAUUGCAUUGCUUCAAAAAAAAAAUUUAAUGUUUUUAAUAUGAAUAUUUUUAACUAUAUUCAGUUAAAAUAAUAUAUUCUUAAUAUUAAUAUUCAUAGAUGAAAUUCUUUUGCGGAUUUAAGAAUAAAAUAUCAAAUAGUUUUAUUUUUCUUUUGUUGUGUAACUCGGACCGAAAAAGACAAUGAGCUUAACAUGACCCUCCUUCCGGCACUAUGCAUGUUUUUCUUAUAUUAAUGACAGUGCUCUUGGUGCUUCUCAUCUGCUUCUUGCUUUGGUUUCAAACAAGUCUUUCUCCGUCGAGACAUUUAUUGUAAUUUGAUUUGGAGACAUCUGUCGUUCAAAUAUAUUUCAUAUGCAAGCCGUUGAUAAUUCUGCUUGAGAAAGCCUACAAAGCAGCUGUGUGAUGUAAUAGAAGACUAUAUAUGCAAACGGUCAUCAGUUUCUCUUGAAUUCUUUCUUGAGUUUCUUUGAAUUAUUUGUGAAUGAGUUCUUAAUCGGCUGCUGCUCUUCAGGAAAAGGAAAGUGUUGCAAACUGGUGAAGCUGAUCGAUAAAAGCAAUGUACCAUCUUUGCUGGCAUGGAUCGAUGCCAGUGAGUUUUUUUAUUUGUCAACCUUUUUAAUAAUGCAUAUGUUUUUCUUCAACUUGAAGCGGCAUAUAAGACGAAAGAAGUGAUCUUUAAAGCAUUCUAUGGCAUUAUCCUUUCCUAUUAUAUAUAUCCAAUUGCUCCAAAUUAUUUGUAAAUUACUGAACACGAAUGCUGGUGAAUAAACUGAUGGCUCUAUGUAUGUAUGCACAUGCAUGGAGAAAUUUUAAGUCAGACAUUCUCAUAUAUAACUCGUGCUACCAAAUCAUUAAAUAAUCUUGAAAUCAAAGUAAUAAUUAAAUACAAAUAAAUUGCUCGAAUUGUACAUAUAUCUGAAUCAUGUAGUGAAGAAAAUACAACAACAACAACCAAUGGCUCAAAUUCCCCAUCAACUUCUAGUCUCAACACUUUUGAGUGUCAGAAGCAUUACUCUGCUACCAGUUAACAAACAUAUAAUUAGUAAUUAGCUAUUCACUUCCCUUUUAGGCCUACCACAUUUUCUACAAAGAAGCCAUAGAGAAUCAGCAGGAAACACUCAAUUUCAACCUAUGUAGGACCAGGAAUUUCAACCAAAAAAAAAAAAAGUGUGCAAUUGCUUAUCCUAUCCUAUUGCUACUAGAAAGAAAGUGAACAAUUAAUUUCAGUGAAUAAAUUAAAAAAAAAAUUACUUCUGCAGAUACUCAAGCUAAGAACACAUUAACCCAUUAAAGACUCCAAAUUGCAUCAAACAAAUUGUUGUUAAACAAGUAAAACAAAGAAAGAGAGUUAAGGAAGCUGACCUAGUAGUAGGGGAGCUGAAGAAAGACUGCCAGUGAAUGUAAGAGAAAAUAAAAUGCAAGAAAUGGUGAAGUGCAGCUUUUCAUGUCAACUUGAAAAUGAUUUUUCUGUUUUUUUUUUUUUUUUUUUUUUGUAAUCUUUUGGAUUUUUCAAACAAAGAAAAUGAGGAGCAACCAGGGAGAUAAAAAGGGCGCCAAGGCAACUGUGUGUUGGGUUUAGAGCCAAAAAAAAAAAAAAAGAAUAAGACAUCGUGUUCUUGUGGAGACCAGACCUAUUACGUAACGUCCCCUUCAAUACCACUUGUUCCGUAUCUGGUUUUUUCUUCGUCUUUUACAUAUUUAUCCUGUGAUUUUACAAUAACUAAAUAAUCCCCCCAUAGUUUGCAAUUUUAUUCAUUUGAGCCCUACAGAUUUCAGUAAUAGGAAUUAUUAAGGGACAAGAGCGCAAAACAGAAACUCUGUCCACUACUGAUGAUAUAACAACGAACCUUUGUUUUUUUCUUUUUCUUUUUUUAAAAAAAGAGUAACAAAAUAUCAUUAGACAAAUGAAAAUAUUAUCUAACAUCACCCUACUGAUGAUAUAACAACGAACCUUUGUAGUUUCUGCCUGUUAAUAUGAAUUGAUCGGGAGUGUUUCCUCAAUUAAAAAUUACGAAUUUACAAAAUAUGUAUGUAUGUACGUACGUAUAUAUGUAUGUACAUAUAUGCAUACACCUAUGUAACAUUUACUUAUCCAUUCUUUUGAGUUUAAAACUUAAUACACAUUUUCAUGAAAUUUUUUAUUUUAUUAAGUAUACAACUACAUUAAUGUAUAUAUUUUUUAUAUAAGACAUGCCGUCCUAUUAUUCGUAAGUAAAACAAUGUGUUGUGAAUAGUAUUCCGUGUUUUCUCAAAGUUGACUUUUCGUCUUUUAUUUUCAGACGCAGACGAUAUGUCAUUUUGUAAUCUUCCAAACAUAUACAGAGCUGAAUUGGUGUUAUCUGAUUUUGUGAUGCAAUGAUAUUUGCACUUCCUGUGCACUCAAUGGAAUCAUUUCUUUGUAACUAAUUGGGUGGUGGAAUCUAUCAAACUCCAGAAACAGGGAAACCAUGCCACGCUAGUAGACAAUAUGCUAGUUUUAACAAACUUGUUUGAAUGGCAAAAACGACAUGACCUGCUGUAGUAUUAGUUCUUUCCCGAACCAACGGGUGAUUUGCUACGUUGGAUCAUGAAAAUUGAAAAAAAAAAUUAACCAAAAUAAAAAUUCUUAAGGAAUUAGUUAGUUAAUUGAUUGAUCGAAUUUAAUCUAAAUUUGAAAAUGAUAAGAUAAAUUUAAAUUUAUUAUUAUUAUUAUUAUUUUAAAGUGGGUGGGUUUAUACAAUUUGAGCGGUGGAAAUAUCACUGCUGAAUUAUUAAAUAUACAGUGUAAAAUUUUGACCUUUAAAAUAUUCCCUUUUUUUUUAUUAUUUAGAACUAUAAGUUUAAAAAUUUAACAUUUUACCUCAAUAAUUAAAUACUUUUAACUUUAAUCUUCAAAUAUUUACCCUACAACAUUUGGACCUAAAUUUUUAAUCCGACUCGGCCCCUGACCCAAGUGGGAAGAAGAUCAGGCUUAUAAGUUAUAACUAUCACCAACAUAACAUCUUCUGGAAAAUAAUAAGAUUACUCACCUGCAAUUAUGUGAUCAAACUAAUGGUAAGCAAAAUAGAACAGCGUUAUUUCAGCCCCCUUUCAGUUUCUUUAUCAUUUUUCUUUUCCUAUUUAUAAGCUGAAUUCGGUUCAAAAUCGGCUAAUUCACUUUGAUUUCACUUUUCUUUCUUUCGGUUCAAAAAAAUUGAACCCAUUGGCUGUCAAUUCAAUUUUGUUGAAAACCAACUUUGCCUGAAUUUAAGUAAUAAUAGAGGAAAAAAACAAAAGAGUACUUAGCAGAAGAGAUUUCUCAUUUUUUUCUCAUUCAAACUUCUAAAAUAAAGGAAAAAAAAACAAGAGUAAUUGUUAAUUAUCAAAAUUUUGUUUAUACUAUUCCACCAAGAAAAUUAUAAAAAAAAAAUUUUAAAAAUUGGAGAAGAAAUAUGAGGUGAAAUACGUGGAUGGCUUAGACUAAUAAUGUGAACAAAUUCCUCUCGGAAACAUGUCAUUGUUCAUCCGGACAACACGCGGCGAUGAGAUUCAAGAAUGAAAGGAUAGGAAUCAACUGUAACCUCAUAAACAAAUGGGCUUGGAGUUGUAAACACCAAGCUCGGCAGAUUAAUUAAACAAAAAUAUCCGAAUUUUCUAUGAUAAUCUCUAGGAAACGAUCAGCUAUAAUGUACGAAAUUAAAAUAUUGCAUAUAUUUUUGAAUUUUUGAACUCAUGCAUUAAUUUCAAAAAUUAUAUCGUAUUAUAAUUUAUUCACAAAAGAAAGAAAAAUUCACUAAUCAAGUGAAAUCGUAUUCUUAUUGAAAUGAAUUCCAGUAAUUGGAUAAAUAUAAGUAUUUCUUCCAUUGUAAUUUUUGUUUAAUAGAAAAUCUAUUUGAGAUUUUGUGAGAAGAAACUCAACAAUAAAGUUUGAUAGACUUUGUGGAUAUUAAGAGUUUGACAAGUAAUUGAAAUCUGAAGUUUACUGAAGUUUACGAGCAAACAAACUGAAAUCCAAAGUUUACUGAAGUUUACUAUCAAGAGUUUCAAAACAGUGAAAAAGAUGAUAUAGUUGAUGACAGAAACCUGAGUUAUCCAUAGCGACAAGUAACAUACUGAAGUAAGCCGUUGGGAGCUGGCCUGUUCAUGGGCUAUUUUUCUCUGAUGAUCUGCAUUUUUCUUCCUUUUAAGUGAACCUUGACUCGUAUCAAACCUGUCAAAAGAACAGUUCAUCAACUGAGCUGAGAUUUGCUUUCCUUUUUCAAAACCCACCUGAGAUAUUGUAAUUCCCAAAUUUCUCUCUCUCAGCUACACGAGCAAGCAGCCGCUUUUUCACUUCAUCGAAGAAGGUAAGCGAUAUAUCUAUUUCGUCCGAUUGAUUUCUUGUUUCCUUUUCAGUGUUCGGGUAAAUUAUUGGCAUGCCUGACUUUUUGACCAUUACAUGAUUCAUAAAUUUAUAUUAAUUUUGAUUUUGAGUUGACCGGUUACUUUUAUAGGUUUGCUUACUUUGACUAGGUGACCAAUUUCUUGUAACUAAAUUUAUGACGUGAUGCAGGAAGCUGGGCAGGAUAUGAAAUGAGAAUCUUAUUAGUGGAAGGAUUGCCAGUAACAGAACCCAAAGAAAAUGAAACCAUUUCAAGGCAGCAGUUGGCAGUUGGGAGUGAAUGGAGGCCCCUGACAAAACUUCAGUAAACUUCAGAUUUCAGUUUGUUUGCUCGAAACUUGC